rnacentral:lncRNA from 1 species
UUUUUUUUUUUUUUUUUUUUGGGUGCCAAUAUUCACAAAAUGUUAAGAAAAUGAAGCAUUUCCGAGAAAGCAGAUGAAUUUGGAAGGAAAGCAAGAAGCCAUUAUUAAUGCUCAAAAUGGUGAACAUCAAUAGAAUUGAUUGGAAAAUGUUGUCAAAAAUGGGAUACCAAUCAGGUAGUAACAUCCCAAGUUAACAUAAGCAAUAAAAGCUUGCCAUCCGAACCCAACAGCUACUCCUGGUGUCGUUUAAUAUAGGGAAAAUAUCCACCGUCCACCUGAUUUUGUCCAUUUUUUUAAAAAUACACAAAUCUUAAUUUUUUUAGCUGCGCUCCACCUGAACUUAUAAUUUUUUUCACAUUUCCACCUCCGUUUGCAAACCGUCAAGACGUUGCUGACGUCAUAAGGCUAAAAUGAUAAUUUCACUUGGGCUUAAAAAACGACGUCGUUUAAGAUCUGUAAUAAGCAAAAAAAAAAAUUAUUUCAGUUUCAAGAACCCAAACAAAAGCUUUGAUAAACUCGAAGCUCAAAGCUUAAUUAUUCUCUGGUCUCUACUCACCACAUUCGCAUUCAUGGCUGCACAAGACACACAAAUUGAGAGCGAAAAUAAAGACUCAAAAGAACCCAAAAACCUGUUCGCACACUUUACAAACUUAUUAUUUUCUGCUCCAAUAUUUAAUAAUAAGCAAGAGAGAAAUAAAAGUGAAGGUGAAGAAAGAGAAGCUGCAGAAGCAAGCAAGAAACGAGAGGUGGUGAAAUUUCCGCUUUUAAAAAAAUAAACAAAGAAAGAAAGAAAAAGCAAAGGCAAAGCCAAAAUCUUCUACUCUGAAAGUCAUCGACCGUAGUCAUGGCGGAAAACACAGAAAUCGCUUCCAGUCCCAGAAAACAAGAAAACAAAAGCAUACUCUCGCGGUUGCCGAAAUUCCAACUCAAUCUCCCUUUCUUCUUUAAUCAACAACCUAAGAAAGCAGAAGAAACUGUUGUUUCUAAAGGGACUGCCAAAACGUCAACGGUUAGUGAAGCCGAUGAAGGUAUGCUAGUAGUGUGAAGCCGAGCUUGGCUAGGUUUCCGGACGCCACGCGUCCGAUUCUUUCGCCGCAGAUUGAGCUCGAGGCCGAAGAGCCCGCCAGGCGGACUUCCAAUCCUGUCCUUCUCUGGCAGGUUCGCUUUCUUCCGUCUGUUCCUGUUUGGCUCCCGAGAAAAUGUGGGGUCCUUUUGUGUUGCGAGAUUGCGAGAUUGCGAGAUUGCGAGAUUGCGAGAUUUUAUAAUAUUUGUUUAAAAAAUAAAAUUUUUGAAAGGAUUUAAAGAUUUUCAGUUUUUAUUUAGGGCUACAAUACUCACAAAGCUAAUAUUUUGACGUUUAUUUAGGGUAAAUAUGUAAUUUUUUAUUUUUGGGAUUAAAAAGUAAUUUGGACAAAAUUCCGUUAGUUUUAUUGACGGUUUGCAGACGGAGGUGGAAAUGUGAAAAAAAUUAUAAGUUCAGGUGGAGCGCAGCUAAAAAAAUUAUGAUUUGUGUAUUUUUAAAAAAGUGGACAAAAUCAAGUAGACGGUAGAUAUUUUCCCUUUAAUAUAUCACAUCAAUUGCAGUAGCGUUAAUUAUUAAUGAUUUGAAUUUUGAAGCCACAACAAAUUAAUUAUGGGGAAAUGGAGAGGAAGAGCUGGAGCUAUGUAAUAAAUAUAAUAUGGCAACAGCUAGCAAUAAAAACGACGUUUAUCGUCUAAUUAUUUAGUACUUCUCAAUUAUUGAUUGACAUUAUAAUCAAAGGCCGACUGUUAUUAAAUUUUUUCACUAAAGUAAUUAAGGUAGCUCAUAUUUUUCAAUUAAUUAAAAGCAAUUAUAUUCCUAACGUAAAAUAAUCAUCGAGAGCAAAUAAUCAGUAGAAAAAUUAACGCUUGAAAGAGUUUGAUGCUUUUUAAAAUAUCAAUGGAGUUUGUAUUUAUUUAAUCAAAGAACAGGAACGUGGGUCUUUUUCCCCCACUAAUAACUGUAGAAAAGCAACAUUUAUUAAAGCUUGAGUUGACGUACAUACACUAAUGAACUCAUUUGCCUGUUUGUUGUGUUGUGUGGCGGUGUAUGCGAGCACGUGUUGUGAAAAUUUUAAUAUAUUUGUAAGUGUAUGAAUUUAGAGAUAAAAUAGUGAUAACGAGGUCGAUCCUACAAGGAUUAUUAUAAAUUAAAAAAUUUAAUUUAAAUUUAAAAUUAAUAUUAAUUCUAACCUAGUUGACCAAAUUAAGUUUCUAAGAAAAUUAAACCAAUUAAACUAAGGAAGCAAUUAAAAUAAAGGAGAAUUCAAUCAAAUAAAAAUUACUAAAGUUUUAAAAUCCACCACUAUUCAACUAGUAAUUACUGUAGAUUUUCUUCUUUGUCUCGGGUUUUCCUCCUCUGGCGGCUCCUCUCUCCAAAAGCCAAAACUCCCUUUUAAUAAUCUUUAAAAUGAGCCCCACCUCUUAAAUGCUAAAGCCAAAAGGCUUGGCCUUUUACUUGAUUUGCUCUCACACACGUCCUGGCCACUUAUAAUUGCUAAAGGACUCAUUUUUCCAAUUAUAAAAGUCAAGUGUGUGUCCCUUCUUAAAGCUAAAUCAAUUUCUCUCCUUUGUCCGCAUGUACAUGAUGAAUUAACUUGUUGAAUUCAGUUCCUUGGCUUGAUUUCCGCAUGCAUGUAUGUCUAAUUGCUUCCAAAAAUCAAUUAAUCUUUAAUGCUUACAAAUUAAAUUCCUUUAUGCUCUUUUUAUCCAUAAUCUCCAAUUAAUUUCCUAUUCAAUAAAAUAAUUUAAUUAAUUAAAAAUAAAAAUAACUAACAAUUAAAUAAUUAAAGAUAAAAUAUGUAUAUAAAUUAUGCUCAUCAGCACGUCGCCGUCUUGUGCAAAGCUAAAUAUCAACAACGUAAAUACUACCUUAUACAGCAAUGCGCGCGCUUUAAAUAAUUGACUAUUACAUAGUAAAUAGUAAAUAAACAUAUAAUUGGUUCCUGCAUCUUCAAUUCUGUGUCUUAUUAUUGACGUUAUUUGAUAAAAUGCAAUGCUGUGAAUAUUUACCUGUAUUACUAUCAUGGUUGGUUAAAAAAAAAAAAGGGUUAGGUGAGCGAGAAAGGAGAUGAUAAGCUAGGAGAAUAAGAAUUACCUGACAGAACAGGCUGGACGCCGUUGAGAAUUACGGAGAAAGCGAGAAAAGGGCUGAGUUCAGCAACGGAGUCGGCGACGGUGGAGCCGCCAGUGAAGGCAUAGCUCAAGACAUUGCGCAGUAUGAGGACAAGAAUGGCCAGAAUCACAGAGAGUGCGAGUGAAAUUGAAGUUACCACGAUCACUGAGAACUUACACGAUUUUGGAUGUGCUGCACCCAACUCAAUGCCCACCCUAACACUGUACGUACGUGUGUAUUUCACCAAUUCAGCGCAAAUAAUUGUAACUAAUUAGAGGAAAACACUAAUAAAUUACGUACCUUGCUGCCGCAUUGAAACCCACAGCAAUCAUGAACACCCAUCCAGCAAUCGUCAUGCUGCAUUAGUGGACACAUGUAAUAGCAUGCGGUUGCAUUGAAUUACUUUGGCAACAUGAUGCCGAUGAGCAUAUUAAAGAGAUUAAACAGACAAAUAAUUCGUAUCUUACCAGAUGGAGAGAGAGUCGAGCACAAUUUCAGCAUUAUCGAGCAACCCAGCAAUCAAAACAAUGAUCUGAUAGUACCAAAUCUCGAGGCACAACAUUACAGCCGAUGCUGUUGACAAUUUCAGUAAGUCCCACAGCCCAGAAAACGCCUGUAAGCUAAACCCAGUCCAUGUCUUUUUGCACCUUUCACUCAACAAAAUGUACACGAAUUGUGCCGCCACUAUAAUCCACCACGACAAACUUAACACCAACGAUGCCCCUAGAAGUCCCCAGCCUAGCUUGAAAAUCGCAACCCAACUUAAGAGCACAUGCACCACAAGUGUUGCCGCUGAGAUGUAUGCACUUGGCGAGAUUAUGCUUUGUGCUUGUGGGAGCUUUUGUAUGGGGAAAUUGACGGCGUAGGCAAAUAUCUGUGGGAUUAGACCGAAAACGAAGAUUGCUGCUGCUGAUGCAAUGGCACUUGAUUCCCCUAGCAGGAGCAAGAUUUGUUUUGAGAAUAUGUAGAUGACCAUGAGUGGUAUCCCAGUUGCCGUGAGUAUGACUGCCGAUCUUUGAAGAUAAACGCCUAGCAUGUCGUACUUCUGUGCCCCGUAAGCUUGGCCACAUAAAGUUUCAGUAGCGCUUCCCAUUCCCAACUGUGUAAAAAUAAUAUUUUAAUUGUAAUCGGACAGUAAUUAUAUAUACACACACACAUAUAUAUACUAUUACGUACCAUAAGGCCAUAGGCGAAAACUUGGAUGCCAGUGUUGCCAAGAGAGACGGCAGCGAGCUCAAGAUUGCCAAGAUGGCCGCAAAAGAUCUGAGUGGACAUGGCGACAAGGUUAUUGAGCAUGUAAACCAAGAUUGCUGGGGCUGCUAGGCGGAAGAGGCUCUUGAGUUCGAUCCAUGUUGCUUUCUUGAUUCUCUGAAAGAAUGACAAGCUGGUAAGUUCCUUCACUCUUGUGAGUCUUGUCUCUCAACUCUCAACACACACGCAGCUACCUCCCCGUUAAUCAUAUAUAUAUAUAUAUAUAUAUAUAAAUAGGCGAUAAUAUAUAAUAUGGCAUCUGCCACUUAACUUUCAAAGACAUACAUAGAAAGUUAGGCAAACACAAUAUGAAUAUAUGGUCAAACGGGGAAAACUUCAUUUCAUCACAUACUGAUCGAUAAGACAAAAGUAUUAGAUUCUAUAUAUAUAUAUAUAUAUAUAUAUAUAUAUAUAUAAAAGAUCAUCGUGUGUUGUAUCACCAUUAAAACAUUGUUGUCAACAAGAAUUCAGAUUAAGUCCAUUAAUUAAAUAUACAUACACACAUACCAGUUACUCUUUCUUAGUGUACACUUGUCGACACGAAUUCAAAGUCCAUCAAAUAUCUUAAUGCUUUCAAUUCUGAGACAUUAAUUGGGGAAUGUUUAAAAGAAAGAAAACAUUGAUAAGCAGGAGAAUCGUGCAUGUGGUACAUUUACAAUAAUUUUAAAAUAAUUAGCCACACCACAAAUAAUAUUGCAGUUGCAGGUGCCAAAUAUGGAGGCACUUCCCCUUCUCCUAUGACGAUGAUCAAUGCUUUUGGAAUUUGCAUUUGUUGACUGUUGUUAGCUAGUUUAAUUAUUUAGGCAGGUGUGUGUAUUGUUCAUUAAUAGGCUACCUUUAGAUCUGACGCAUUUAUUUACAUCUCAUUCUAGAUAAGUAUUGGUGGCAUAUAUAUAACACAAUAAUAAUUCCGAAAAUCUGUUCUCGCAAUAUAAUACAUAUGGCUCUAACAACAUUCAAAAUUUGCAAUAAGUGGAUCCGAUGCUAUAAUCUACUUAUUUUUGCUUCCAUCCCACACACCACUUGGAAUUGACACCUUGACGGAUCUAGCCAACGUAGAUGCUGGCUGCUGAAAUUUGAAAAUAUUAAUUUGUAAUUCAUACUAAUUCUGAUAACACCCACUUUAAUUCCAGGAAUAUUUAUUAAACCUUUACAUGAAUUAUUUGCGUUUUUAUUUCUUAACAAAUGUCUUAUAUAUAACAUGAUCAAGAUCCAUGUUCUCCCUCAAUUGAGUCAAUUCUAGUUUCUAAUCGGACAUCUAUUUUACUAAAACGACCAUUUUAUCAUACAAAGUUUUUGAAAAUUAAAAAAAAAAAUUGUAAUUACAAUAAUACUGACGAAUUUAAUAAAAUAAAUAAAUUCAAAAAUCCAAAAUGUUUAUUCUUAAAAUUAUAAUUUUUAAACGAUUAUUUUUGUAAUUAUAAUUUUUUAUUCUUUUGGAAACAAUGAAAGUUGUUUGAUAAUUGCGAUUGUAUGAUUGAGAUUAAAAAAGCAAAAAAAAAAUAUUUGAGAUGAGUAUUACAUGUUUUUUAGAUCAAAAGGAUUGAAAAAUCAAUAACAAUUAUUAUCAAUUAAUUAAAAUAGUAUCCCAAACCUAAUUUUUCAGUAAUAUUUAUCAAUUAAUUAAAUGAUAAUUAUAAUUUUUUAAUUUUUAAAAAUUUUGUAAGAUAAAUUGAUCUUUUAAUUCAUUUAUGAUAAAAUAACUAUUUUAUUUAAAUUAUAGUGACAAAGUAACUAAUUAAUAUAAAUUUAAAAAUAGUGUAAAAAAUAUGUCAAAAUUUAAUGAUAAUUAAAUAUAUAUAUAUAUAUAUAUAUAUAUAUAUAUAUAUAUAUAUAUAUAUAAUAAAAUAAAAUAGAGGUGGUGCAGAAAUAAUUUUUUAUUUAAUAAUCCUCAUGGGACUUGAUUAUAGGGUUGCUGAAAUGCUAGUUGGUUUGGAAUUUUAAGUCGGCUUAGUCCUUCCAAAAUUGGCGUUGUUUUCUCGUCCCACUUAUCCAAACGAUUUUUCACUUCCUGAGACAAAAUCAUAAAUAAUUGACAACAAAUAAAAAUACACAUAUAUCAACUACUCUUUCAAAAGUUGUUCUUGCAAUUUAUUGCAGAUAACUUAUUAAAAUUCAUAGACUUUAGCAGUUGUAAAAGUCCUAAUCUACAAUGUCCUUACAAAAGGGGCAAAAUUUACAUGGCAGAGUCAGAUAGGUAGAUAAUAGUAUGACUUUCCUUCAUUUUACAUAUACAUCUUUACAGAAAAAAUUAUUGCAGAACCACAAGUAAGAAUCAAUAAUUAAUGUGACCAGAAACACAAACUUGAAAACCAGGCUAAGAUUCUCCUUCCAAUGAACCAAGGCAGCUCACGCCUGGGUGAUAUAUAGUAAGUUUUCCCAACAGAACCGUGUUAUGCUAUCUUCAUUUGUAAGGCCUGAGGGAUUGGUGUUGGUAAUACAAAAAAGCUCUCUCAACGUAAAUGAUAAGCAAGAAUGACCUAUAAAUCUAUAUGAGCAUCAACAGAAUCGCUGACGAAGCAAAGAGCUGAUAAAAUUUCAAAGCCUCAUUAUAAAGACCUGCAAAACACGAGUAUUAUGUCAAGCAUAAGCAAGUAUUCAGUAGCAAUCAUAUUUUCUUUUGACUACACAAAUGUUAACUCUGCCCGCAAGACUUCAAAAAACUUGCAUGUAUGCAGGCUUGCCCUUAUCUACUUGAGCUGGAAGGAUAUCACUGGGGAACACAAAGUGCCUCAAUGGUCAAUUCCAAAUCCCCACAAAAUAUUUGUAUGAAUUUUUUUUGAGCUUUCUUGAUUUUCCCAGAGCUUCAUAUCACAAACUUAGAAGGAAUGGUGAAUCAUUUUAAAAUUUCUUGUUAAGUUUUGUUAUCUACUUACCACUUUGAGCAGAUGCAGCAGCAGGAAGUGCAGGAAUUCUAACAGCUGCAUGCCACAAGCCAAACAGAAAUUUCAAUAAAAUUCGACAAAAAAUAACAGCUAAAAGAACAUGAUUUUAAAUACUAUCAGUUGAACAUACAACUAUUGCAUGAUUGAGUUGGUAAUCGAGAUGAAGAAGGCCAUGGGGCUGGAAUGUUGUCAUUCAGAUCACAAAUAAAACUAAUCCCUGAAGAUUUGUCAAACGUUGCAUCUGAAGGCAAGCUCGGCAGGAGGCAUCCAGAUUCUGCUAGAAAGGGGCGAAUAUGCAAGUUAGAUUCAACUCUUUUAAAAAAAAAAACUCAAGUAGUAUAAAAAGUCCCGUACAGAAAUAUAUUGAAAACUAGAAAUUGUGCUACGGUUGGAAUUCAAGAGUGGUUGAAGAGUACAGCAAUAUACAGCAACACAACACAACUAUACAUUUCAGUUGUAAAUGAUAGAGCUGGGGCCGCACACAUGAUUGGAUGAUGGCUGAUAUGAAUAAACUCAAAGGGAAUAACUUUACAGAUCUUGCUAACUUUAUAUCCGUUAACUGAAUUAUAAUAUGAAUAACAUAUCGUACCUUGAUUUCCAGCAGCUGCAUCCAUAUCAUCAAUCCCCCACAUCACAUUGGAGAAGCAAGGUGACAAAAGAAUUAUGCAUUAAUAACAGUUUUAUGUCAGACAAAAGGAUAUUUCGAUUUUCUCAUUAAGCAGCAUUGUUUAACAGAACUAGUACUAACCUUGUAGGGUGAAAUCUUUGAGACUUAUAUGACACAGUUUAAAAACAUCUGCAGUUAUACUUGAUUUUUGUAACUUCGUUCCUAGUAAUGUAGCGCAAUCCAAAGCUUGCAAGUUAGUGAUGAGGCUCUGUUUUUGCAAGUGUGAUACAUAGCUCUCCAUGGCAUUACAGCAAGCUGAUUGGUUACUUAUAUUAUCCCCACAGCUCUUUGCUAAGUGUUUUGUGCUGGGGAAAGACAAAGGGCAAACUGAAGCAGAAAACAGAAUAAAUUUACUAAUAGAUCAAAAAAGAAUUGAGAUCAGCUGAAGGAUUUGCAUCACUAAACGAAAUCAAGUAGAGAAAAAUCUGCAGAGCAAACAUGAAAUUACCAUACAGUCCAAAACACAACAUUUGCACUCACAGACAAACUAGAAAAUAAAACAAAUUAUGAGCAAUUAAUACUUCAUAGCGAGGUGACCAAAUACCAAAUACCAAAUACCAGUAAAUGAACAUCACCUAGCAUCCCAAGGCUAUCAAUAACUACUGGAUGCAUAGAGAUGAACCAUAUGGGUCAAAUACUAAAAAGAAUAUUUCCAAUAGAGGACACAACACAAACAGUCGAGCAGAAAGCCAGCAAGAGUCCCCAUACACAACCAUGUUUCCAAUCAUCUAAACAAUCCAAAGAGCAACUUCCAGAGCUGUGAGAUUUUUAUUAAUGGAACAACUGGAAAACUCAUUCAAGAUCCAAGUGUUGAGUCAUGUGAUGAAGGAAUUACCAAUGAUAAUUGACAGUCCCAGGCAUUAACAGUUUCCAAUAAAAAUUAGAUUUUUACAUCCAUGUUUCACUCCAAUCCCACCUUUAUUGACGUUGCAAUUAGAUAGUCCUCUUAGAACUUCCUUGGAACGAGAGGGAUCAAGUUUACUUCCCAGCCACCGGAGGACAAUGCUUUUGCAAUCAUUAAUCCUGGUUGAGUGGUCGGAUAAAACAUUGUGCCCUUCCAUGUUCAAAGGAUCCGAGGCUUUCAUCGCAAUUUUGGUAGCAGCUUCUAAUAUUGCAUUCUGACAAAUUUGGUCACAACAUUCUUUUACAGGAUCAACCUUCUGACAGGCAACAAGAAGCUUAGAAGAAUCCACAGUGCUCUCAAAUUCAUUAACAGCCUUGACUGGGCAAGAUGCCUCAGUGAGGUUUGAUGCAUUAAUUGAGCAUAUCUUCUUCAGAUCAUCAGCAGCACCCUGGCCCACCAGAAUCUGCUCAAAAUCAGAGAGGCAGUGCUCGGCAAGUGUCCCAUUUAAAGCAAGCAUAUUAGUUUUUCUACUGGACUGACCAAUGAGAAUCAGAAUAGUGGCCUCUAGCUGCGGACAGCACACAACAUUGGCCAACAAUGGGGCGAACACAGCAUGGCAAUCAAUUGAAGUCAUGCUCAUCAAGCUUUCAGCUGCAGUAAAGUUUAGCAAACAGUGUCCUGCAAAAACAGAGAGUGCCAACAGCAAAAUGUGAGUAAAAAAUUUGCCCAAAAGAGCUUUGAAAACCAGAAUAAUUAGGCUACAGAACAAACCUGAUAAUUUUGGGACAGUGCUAUUCGUGAAGGGUGCCAAGGGAGAAGGUGCAAGAAGAGGAAGAAAUGGCUGAGGAGCCUCACUAGGGGGAAUCUCAGGUAACAGAUCAUCCACUCUUCUGUUCACUGAUAUGUGACCUUUCAGAUUAUACAUUGAACUGCAACAUGAUUCAUGGAAACCUGUAACCAAACAAAGGGUCACUAAAAUGACAGGAUAAACAAUACUCUACUCCCAAAACCCACCAUAAUUUAAAUAAAACACCCCCCCCCCCCCCCCCAAACCAAGGUCGAUGCAUGGGAUAUCCGAAAUCCCUGACUUCUUGCAGCCAAAUCAACUAAGCUGUCAACUUAGGGAUGAUCUUGUAAGAAUUUGAAAUGUAACAACUCCGUAACAGAAUUUGUGAGCCCUAAUUUAAUGUUAUGAGAUAAAAGACUCAGAGAUGUGCAAUGGCAAGUUACUAAUGCAAAUAGGCAAUCUAGAGGAAGCUGCGUUGAAAGAAAGCUAAUUUACAACUUAACUAAGAUAGCUAGCAGCAACUAUAUGAAUUUUAUUAGUUCUAAUAUUGGAGAAUUAAGAUAAAAAUACUUAAUACAUACUCCUCAUUAUAGGUGAUAAUAACUAAAAUUAAGGAGCUUUACACACAAUACAACAAUCAACCACCAGAAGCAGAAACUUUUUUCCUUUUUUUUUUUUUUUGGGUGUAAACACAUAACAAAAUGGGCUAAAAAUUACAGUAAAAAUUUACAAUACAACAAAACAGAUCAUGACAAAAUCAACCAAACCCAGAAAAGGAAAUGGUAAAAAGAGCUGAGCAGUGAGCACUUACAUAGAAGCAACAGAAACAGCACUAAAAGACCCAUACUCAGACUGAGGUUAAGAGAAAUCCCUUCACUCAUUCCUCCAAAAUUUCCUUCUUUCAACUCAAAAAAAUGAAAAAAAAAAAAAGUUAGAAGUAAAGAUGAAAAAGGAGGAUUAUAUAACAAAAGGCGUGACCAACAGUUAAAAGAAUUUUUAGUAGUUUCUGUCUUGGAAUUCAGAGAAUGGGUGGGUAUGAAAGAGAAGGAAGAAAGAAAAGUAAAACGACACGAUUAAUUGAGAGAGUAAUGGAGUGCUGUACUACAGAAGCCAUGAAUGAGCUUAAGAAAUACGUGGGGUCUAAACUCUAACCAAGUUUCAGGGCGGAAUGGAAUAAUAUCACCUAGCUCCCUAAUUAAUUGAAAUAAUUUAGCUAGCUAUCCUAAUUAGCUAAACCAAAGUAGGGAGACAUCCACUAUAAUACUUUCCUCUUUUUUUUUAAAAAAAAAAAAAACUCAUAAUAAUUCUAAUCAUUUAUUAACUCUAAAAAGAAGAAGGGGCUUCUUAGAAAACCAGAAAAAUUGGGUUCUUAAUUAAGAUUUCGUAAACGUUGAGGGAGAGUAAGGAUGGCAAUAGAUCGGAUCUGACCCAAGAUUUAUGUGAUUCAAAUUCACUUAGAUUAGAUUUGGAUUGGAUUUGGAUACCAAUGCGUGGAUUUAAGACGGAUCGGGAGCAAAUUUAAAUUUAUCUUAAUAUCUAUAUCCAAAUUCAUAUCCACUCACCAUUUAAUGUAAUUUUAUUUUAAAUAAUUCUUAACAAUUAUGUAAUUAUAAAUGAUGAUAAAAUUUAUUCAUUAGCAUGUAUUUAAGAAUCUUAAAACUUAAAGGUGCUUAAUUAAUAAUAAGACAAAAAAUAAUCAAGUGUAAAAUAAAAUUAGGAUAGCCUGUCCUAAUUUUUUUAAUUUUUUCACUCUACAAUUUAGUCUCUUUUUUCCUCUUUAGUCUGCUCUCGCUUCUCCACUUCAUUUGAAUGCUUUGAUCAGUUCUUUAAUUGUUAGGAAAAUCCAUAGACUUGAGUUUAUUUUUCUAUCAUUUUUUCAAAAUCUUAUUUAUUUUGUAUAAUCACUAAUCAAUGGUGGCUAUCAACUAUAAAAUAAUUAUGUUAAUAAUAUAUUUAGUUAAAUAUAAUCAUAAUAAAAAUAAUAAAGCACUGAAUAUAAUAAAUCAUUUUUAAUUUAUAUGUUAUUAUUUAAUAAUAUAAAAAUGAUGAUGGUAUGCAGUGGAUAUCAAGAUAGUAAAGGAGACAUUAGAAUAUUAUAAUGAUAUUAUUCUUUCAAUUACUUUUGAUCGAUAUUUUAUUAUCUUUCUUAUUUAUUUAUUUUGGUGUAAAAGUAGAAGUUACAAUACUUAUUAGAUUUUUUGUAUACAUUAUAUAAUUUAAUUGUUACCAAUACAUUUUACUCUUAACUUUUCUUUUUUUAAAAAAAUGAUCUCUUAUUAUUGAGAUUUAGAAUUCAUGAUGAAUUUAGAGCAGAUUUAGAUUUUAAUUUUUUUUUAAUUUAGAGCAUAUAUAAAUCUUUAUUUUUUAUUUCGGAUCUAGAUAUAGAGCUAAAAAUAUAUAUCCAUAAUGAAUCUAGAGUAGAUACAAACCUUAAUUUUUAUUACGAAUCUAAAUAUAAAAUAAUAUAGAUUCAAACCAUAUCUGCUCCAUUAACAUACCUAAGAGAGAGAAUAUAACUAUCAAAUCAGAGAUAGCUGUACUGGGAGGGACAGUGGAGCCCACAGGGACAUAAAAUCUUAAGAGAAUUAAUAAAAGGAGAACCCACUGCUCUCAAUUCUCAUUACCGCCAUCAAUUGCCUUUCUCUGCUUCCCCAACCAGUUAAUCACUACCUCCAACUGUAUCCACCACACACCGCGCCAGUCACGCACGCGUGAGCCUCUUUGUCUCGAAUGUGUGAGUGCCCACGACACGUGUUACAGACAAACCAGUUGUUGUUUGUUUACAUACUAAUUAAUAAUUUCGGGUUGAUUUAGAAUUUUUUCCGUGCGUUUGGCACAUUUCUUUUCCACUCCCCCAGAAAUGCCUUUGGACAUUACAUUAUAGCAAUAAUGUAAUAUUUUAUUUGGCAUAGUAUAAACUUUAUUAUAUGAAAAAAAUUAUAUUAUAUUAUAUUAUAAUAUUAUUACUAUACUAUGAAUAAUAUUAUUACAUAAUUUAUUCCUAUAUAUUAGUUAAUAUGAUAUAGUAUAAUUUAAUAUUAUAUUGUAAAAAUAUAGUAUUAUGUAUGUAAUAUAAUAUUAUAAUAUCAUCUUAUAAAAUUAUUUUUAUUUAUUAAUGUCGAAUGUAAUUAGGUUUAUUAAUAUUUUAUAUAUUGUUUAUGUUAAAUUUUUAUUUAAAUUUAUUAUAAUAUAUUAAAUUAUAAAAGUCAAAUGAUUAUAUUUAAAAUAUGAAUAGAAUUUUAAUACAAUACAACCUAAACCCUUCUCACCCAUGGAUUUAUUUUAUACACCUUUUUAGUAUAGUAGUCAUCUUUGUAAUACAUUCAAUACAACUAGAAAUUGUAACCAAACAUGAGUUAACAUAAAAAAAAAAAAAAACAAUAUUUUAACACAAUACAAUGUAGUGUAAUAUAAGUUGUCAAACACAUUGUAAGUUCUUUAUGCAAUAUCAUUCAAGACUCACCAAAUUCAUGAUUGUCCUAUACAUGAAUAUUUGUGGACAUAAUAAAUCAUAAAUGGUACGUUUGACACAUUAUAUUAUACUAAAUUACCUAUAUUGUAUUAAAGUGCAAAAAAUUAUAGUUAAAUGUGGAUUAAUAUAAGAAUAUUAUUUUAACACGAUGCAAUUUGCAAGUUGCGAAUGCACCCAACGAGAUGAAGAGUUAUUUUACUUGGGAAAAGAGAGAGAAGCUCGCCUAAAUGUUCUGCAGCCCAACUCCAGAGGCCGAAAUCGUAGGCCCUUUGUAGGUCAGAGUUGUCAGGCUCAAGCCCAACUCUAAAGAGCGACAAGGGAUACAGUUGCAACAAAUAAUGGCCCAUAUUGACCAAUAAAAUAACGGUUUUUUUUAUUAUAUAUAAAUAAAAUAGUAAUUAGGAUCAAGAGAGAUCGUUGAGUUAGUCAGCUCGCCCAUUUGAGCAUGAAGACAUUGAAAAGAAGCUCUCAAUUGAUUGAUUUUAUUUUUAUUGGCGGCUUAUACAAUAAAUGUGCAACAAAUUGAACCGCAAGACUUACACAUAUGACGUCAAAAUAGCCUACGUUAAGUUACUUGUAGAAUAUGAACAUCGAUAAUGAUCAUUUUGACCAAUAAAAAUCAAUGAAUUAACUAACGGCCUAAAAAUUUGAUCGUCAUCAUGCAUCAACAGCUGAGUUCACCGUUCACCUCCGGAAUACUCUGCAGGACGGGCCUCCACGACCGGUGAUACGCCACCUGAAACUGUGCAUUACCGUUGAUCAACUUUGCCAAUACUUCCUCUAGAGACAAGCCCCUCACCCCCAUUCCUUGCACCAAAUCCUCUAAUUCCUUCCUCGUAAGCUUUAACUUGACUUCUCUGCUAGACGGAGACGGCGAUGAUGAAGAACAACCUCUCUCUUCUCCAUCUGGCAAUAACAUUUUCCUUUCUACGUUGAUAUCAUUUUCAUCAUUACUCGUUGCUUCAUUUCCCGGAGAUUCCCAAUAAUACUCCUCGCAAUCCCACACCAUAUUCCUCGAAGCAUUAGCAUCACGUUUAAUGCAAAACAAACAAUUUCCCAUGUUAAUCCUGAGAAGAUAAUGAGAAGAGAUUUCGUGAGGAUGGAUCAAGUUGAUUGUAUAUAUAGGUUAACUACUAGGGUGACGUCAAAAUUAAAGUUUGGACAUGUUCCAAGGAAACUUCAUGCAAUGAGUUGGCUUGGCUACGCCUACGUAGGAUAUCGAUGUGGGUUUGGUCUUACUUGGAAAAAACUAAUAGAGAGUUUGGUCAGCUCAAUUAGUUGACCAGAAUUUCUAAUCGUACAGCUAGAAUUAAAACGAGUUUGAUGUGUCAAACGCAUAACAUGAAAACAUGGCUUCCCUAGCUUAAUUUACGCCGGUUCACUUCGGGUAGUUUUCGGCUUCUACAGCAAAAAUAAAAUACAACCCAGCUAGGAAAUAAUUAAACCCAACCGGAAGGAUAAGAUUGAAAUAAAAAUAGAGAGAAAAAAAAAGUUUUCUUCUUUUUCGGUUUUGUUUAUGAUACACGUUAUUUUUGGUGUAUGAAGAAAGGGCAUUUGAGAUGGCUUAUUUUGUUUGAACUUAGAAGCUAUACAGGUAAGUGUGAACGGAGAUAUGAAGUGGAAUCAUUGACCUUUGCGUUGAUUUUUCCUUUCCACAUAAAUUCGGUAGAUGCCUUAUAUUCCUUUCUCAUCAUCAUGCAUGCACUUAAAAACAAGAGCGCUGCUACAGUGCUACUCACCCCGAAUAUUAACCCCGAAUCGCGCCGCCCCGAAUUUAAAACGCACCGUUUUGAUUAAAUUGAAAACGGUGCGUUUAACCCAUGUUUCCUUUCCUUUCUUUUGCCGAACCACAGAAACAGACCUUUGCCGCUUCCUUCUAGAUUCUAAUUGCCGCUGCCGCUUCCUUGUAGCUUUGUUGCCGCUGCCGACCUUUGCUUCCUUUUGGCUUCACGAUCUAGAAGCCAUCGCUGCUUCCUUCAAGUCCACAGCUGCCGCCGCUUCCUUCUGGCUCUGUUGUGGUCACUGCAGCUGCCGCUUCCUUCAAGAACCGAGCUCUCUAAGCCCCUCACUGCCGAUUUUGACCUUUGCUUCCUUUUGGCUUCAUGAUCUAGAAGCCAUCGCUGCUUCCUUCAAGUCCACUGCUGCCGCUUCCUUCAAGGCAGUCUGCUCUCUCUAAAUAAUUUCAAUAAGUUUGAAUUUAUUUUUAAACAUUUAAAUAAUUUCAUAUAAAUUUAUUUUUAAUUAAUACAAAUUAAUUUCAUGUAUCGUUAAAUGUUCAUUCAAGACUCUGUUGUGUUUGCUGCUGAUUGUGUUUCUGUGUUACUGUUCUGGGAUUGUCUUGCUGCUGAUUGUGUUUGUGUGUUACUGGUGCUGGAAUUGUGUUGGUGCUGGUGGAAGUGUUACUGGUGCUGAAAUUGUGGUCGUCUGAGCAUUUCUGUUUAUGGUUUUUAUUCGUACUAUUAUUCAGCUGUCAAGUCCACCUAAUUGCAGUUUCUGAGUUCUAUUUCCCGUUACUUUAUUAUAUAGGAGGUGAGGGAGGAAUAUAAUAUACUGAUGAGGAUCGGACCCAAUGCUAGCUAGACUUGUUGUUUUCUUGUUUAUGGGUGCUUAUUUGAAACUCAAGUGGGGAAUCAAAUAAGCUGAGUUCUUUUGUUUAUGGUUUAAUUUACAGUUUUGCCGUUUACAAUGCUAUAAAGAAAAUAUUGCUUCAGUUUCAUCGUUUGCUAUUGUUUUUCGUGUUUGUUCUAAGUCCAAUGUCAUUCUCAUGCAAGAACAAGAUCGAGCGUUAAAUGUCGAUUUUUCUUCUUAGUUAGCCAAUGUGAAAAUCUGCCUUGAUAAGAUCAGAUUUAAACCUGCUAAACAAUCAAGUGAAAUUAAUGAGAUGCCUUCUAGUGGAAAUAGAUUUCGUAAAUCGUUAAAUAAAAGCAAGUUUUGGUCUAUUUGGUUCACAAUUAUGACUGUAACAAAUUAACAAUGGCGCAAUUUCUAAACGUGCCGUCUAACUUUAUCAUAUCUGUAAUCUUUAACCAUGAAAAAAUAAAACCUGCAGAGUGAAUUAUUGAUGCUCAUGCAUGCAAGAAUUUGAUCAAUCAAGCUAAUAUUAAGGUGAAGGGGUUCAGCGUGAGAAUUGUCAAGUUAAUUGCAUGAACAAUUCGCUUGUAAGGAAAAAGCAAUGAAAGCAAAAGGAAAUGAGUCAAAGCAAAACGCACCGUUUUUGACAAUAUUCGGGGCGCAGAUUCGGGGUUAAAGUCGGGGUAAAUAGCUUUUCCCUAAAAACAAACAUCUAUUUCACGUUUCACUUCAUCUUCAAUCUUCAUUGUCAAAUUAUGAUUAAUUAUCUUUGUUUAAUAGCAUAUACACACACCUUGUUAACCCUUUACAUAAACAAGAAUAAAUACACGCACGCACGCACGCACGCACACAGUUGCCAGGCCACCGACGACAUUGACUUUGGAUCACUGCAUGUAGUACUAAUGCACCAAUUGCACGUAUAAGUGCAUGCAUUUUUGGUGGAAACUCAUUAUUACUUGAACAUAAAUUUAAUGUUUCUUUACGGGAACGUUAUAGUCGAGCCCACUGGAAGAAUAGCAAUUCUGGAAUUGAAGCCCACUGAAAAUAUUAUGUGAUCUAGCUAGUGAGUGUGUGAGAAAGAGAAUAUAUAUCAGCAAAGGUGUAGCAGAAAAAUUAAGAAUGCUGCCAUCCAAACAUCGAUCGAACGGCUCGUUUGUUUGGUAGUUGAAUGCGAGCUUAAGCUAUCUAUAUUACUUUGAUUUACAGAACACAAAUAACAUAAACUAAAUGAUAAUGCACGCUAUGUAUCAAAGUUCAAAGAAUCUAGAAGAUUAAUCAGCAGGGUGUCUACUGGUAUCCAUGAAGCAAAUUAAGAAAUUAAGAGGAACAAUUUGUAUUGGCUUUCUAAUAAUUAAUUACUCCACAAGAAUUCUAGAAUAGAUUAAGAUCACACUAAUGGAUGACGAUCAUGACACCAUUUACUUUCAAUGCCGUACUUUGAAGGUGAGUUUAGUUUGACACGUAUACGAUGGAAAAAAAAAUGCCGCAACUUUUUUUUUUCCUUUUUUAAUGCACUAGUUAAUUAGCUAGAAUCAGCAGCUACCAUUUCGUUUAUUCUAAUAUUAACAUCGCGAAUAUUUUACUAGAUUACUAGUUCAAACUUAGUAGUUAUCUUGUACUGGAAUUCUUUGUGUACGUAUAACUAGUCAAUAAAUUAAAAUUCCUUGUAACUCUUGAACACAAGAGCAUAUUUCUGCAAGAGAAAUUUUAUUAGUCAAUUGAUCUACCCAAUCAGUUAACCUGAGAAUGAAAGGAUAAGCUUCAAGAAAUUAUUGCUAUGAAAGAGAUUUCAACAUGUGGAUAUUAUUUGUAGAUUAGAUGGCUGGUAGUUUUGUCAUUGUUCUAAAUGAUUUUAUGAUCUUUAGUUUGUGAGCAUCUUGUAACUUAUCUUUUUGCAACCUUUUUCUUUUUUUCUCGGGACGGAGUCAUAACUAUUGUGAAAAACGAAGAUGAUGCUUUUUUUUUUUUUUUUUUAAUUUUUUUAACAAAAUUUGGUACAUACAAAUGACAAUUUGCAUCAUAUCAGCUAUCCCAAUCAGAUGCGGAAGCAUUAAUACCUUCAAUAAGAUAAUAAAGAAAGAGACAGUGACGAUGACAUUGGAAACUUCAUGAUCUUAUAAUUUAUAUAGCAGCGGAUAAUUAAUUUACGCAUCAAUCAACUCAUCCUACCCUAAUUUCCUGCAUUCAUUAAGGGCGAUUUGUUGCUUAAAAUAAAGUAUCACGUGUUUUGGUUGAUCCAACUGCUUGACUGUCUAUUGAGUUGAUCGUCUAAAUCGCUUGAAUUUUAGUAAUAAAAUCUUAUAUAGAAAAUCCACAUGUCGUUGCUAGACUAGUUGGGUUGUAAUUGUUAUGCCUAUUAAUAUCAUUAUUAUUAUUAUUAUUUGGAGUAAAUCUCAGCAAGAGCAUGCCUUGUUAUUUCGAUUAAUAAUAAAGAUAAGCCUGACUUUACUUCCUUAAAAGGGGGAGAAGAAGGGGGGAAAGAGAUGUCGUGUAGUUUCAUUUUAUGCCAACUCACGUAGAUCAUAAAGUUUGAUUUAAAUGAGUUGGUUCUAAAAUUUUCACCAUUUAGAUGAUGAUUAACUGGAUAGAAGCUUAGUGCAUGUGUGAUUAACAUAUACUUUAAAGGGACAUAAUUGCAUGCACUUUAUGGUGAGAGAUUAAGCGCGUCAUGUUUUCAUGUGAGGUAUCAUAACUUCUCCAAUGAAAGCUUGACACGCACGUAAUCACUCGCUAUAAGGUGCGCGAUUGCACGCACCUUAUCAUAUUCUAUAUUUAAAUGCAUAUAAUGUUGUGCAUUUUUCAAGUGAAAUAAUAUUUACGCAGAAUUUGAUAUUAAUUAAAAUUAAUUUUAAGCAUGGAAAUGAUUCGAUAUAGUAAACAUUUUAAUAAUUUCUCUAGCUAAUAGCUACAAAAUACGUACUUGCACUUAAAUCAAGUUGCCCAAACAAUGCAUUACGAGCUAGAAAUUCUUUCCACAUGAAUUCACAAUGCGAUAUUUUGAAGCCUCUAUCACCAAAUUUAAUGAUAUUUCUGAUUAUGGCUGUCCAUAAGAAACCUAAUAAAUGUGGGAAACUAACUAAAUGUGAAAAAAAAAAAAGGUAGUAUUAUAUAUUGAUGGAGAUGUGAUGGAAACCUUCAUGUACUAAUGAACACAACUUCAGCUUUUCUUUUUUUUCCACCUGAUAACGCUCUCUUUACUAAUUGGUUGUCCAAAAUUUAGCAGAAAUACACACUUUUCAGUAGAAUUUUAAAAGAUCGAGAUCAUCGGAUCAAAUGGCAUAAGGCAGUUUCAAAAACCGGUGUGUAAUUUAUGAUGGAAAUUGCUUUUUAUAAGAGUGAAGCACACAAAGCAAAACACACCAUGUUCAUUUAACAUGAAAUUAUUAUGAGUGGGGCUAUUUGUAAUAUUUGUACAGCACGUAUAUCAUGCAUGGACUAACCGCGAGCAAAUUAAUGGUAGCUACCCUUUUGUUAAUUCAUUAUUAUAAAACUUAUAUGCAACAAAUUAUGGCAUCAUACACAGAUAUUUAUAAGUUAUUAAUGCAAAUAAAUAAUAGUAUGCAUAGAACAAUCUACUACUAGAGAGAUUAAAGCACUUUUCUUCUUACGACCUAGGUAAAGUUUGAUAACUUCAUGCACGCAAGUGUUUUAAGGGGAAUAUUUCCUCUCGAUUAAUAGAAUGCAAUUUCAGCAUUAUAGAUUCAAAUAUUUAAACUGUGCUACUACUAUUAUAAUUGAGCUAUCUAUACAAGAUUCUUCUAAUUUUUUUAUGGCCCUAACAAAAGGUACACUGAGAGUGAUUUUUUAAGAGCUAUAGUGUAAAAAUAUAUAUAUGGAAUUAUGUUAAAACAUCAAAUAGAUAAAAUUAUUACAAAUUAAAUUUUAAUGGAACCUAUAGAAAAAUAAAUUUUUUUACCAUGUACCGUCUAUGGAUUUUCAUCCUUAUCCUCCAAUGAGAUUACUAUCUAGGCCACAUCUGCUAUAACGCAAAUAAAUAUUUUAAAUUGAUCCUAUAUUCAUUUUGUCUUUGUUUACUUCUUAGGGAUCUUGCAAUACGUGUACAUGAUUAAUUAUGUAUGGAUAGAUGUAUCAGUUUAUUAUUUUUGUUUUUAUUAGCCACCAAUCAAUGGAUAUCAAAAAGGCAAAAUCAAAGACAAGAUGAGCAAUGAUCCUGAAUCUCUACAAUGUCCUUAAUACUUAGUGAAAAGACCCUCGAUGCUUUUAGUUAGAGCAUUACUCAUUAUUCAUUUAGUACUUGACAUGUGUGUAUCUCUCUCUAUAUAUAUAGAAAAUUUUCAAUUCAUUUUAAAGUGCGGGAAAAUUUAGGAAAAUUUUAAAACCCUGUGAUUUUAAAGUAUUAAUUUCAUAAUAUUUAAAAACCAUGCGAUUUUAAAAUUUUAUUAGACUUUCCUGUACUUUAAAAUUUCAGACAAAAAAAAACUAUUGUAUAUAUAUAUUAUGAUUAAUUAAAAUAUACAUGUGACAAGAAAUAAAUGAAAAAUGAGUGGUGCUUCAAGACCACCUAAAAAUUUUUCUUCUCUAACAAGGUGGACUUAACUUUCACAGUGAAAGCAAGGAGUAAUGGGUUCAAGUUAAAAGUGAUAUUUUUAAUUUGAAAUACAUUAGAACCUUUAUAAAUUAAUAGGGUUGGGACCAUAUAAAAUCUAUUAAUUAAAAGAGAAAUUAAAUAAUUGAUAAAUUAAUAAAUUAUUAAUUUAUAUAGUUAUUUACAGUUCAAUUAACAUACAUCAAUAAUACUUUAUAAUUUCUUAUUAUAAUUUGAGAAGUCAAUUCCAAAGCUUUUAGAUGCAAUAAGAAAAAAAGAGAUGAGAUCUAAUUAGAUAUAAAUUUUAAGAAAAAUAAUAAUAAAGUCAUAUUUUAUGUAAAUAAGUAACAAUAGAGUCAUAUUUUAUGUAAUUAUAUUAUAGUCAACUACAUUUGUAAUUUCAGUAAAUUAUUAAUUCAUAAUUUGAAUGAGACCACAAAGUUAUAUAAGAUUUUUUUGAAAAAGUAUUAUCUCAUUAUUUUAUCGAAGUUAUUAAUUUAGUCUAUUAAUUUAAAUCGGGACCGUGAAAAUUUAUUAUAUAAUAAAGAUUAUUAAUUUAUCAAAUUUUAAUUUAUAGAAAUUUAUUGUAUGUAACUUUUUUUUUUUUGUGUAAGUCAUUCGGUAUCCGGCGACCGCAUUGGGUCGCGACUAAUCCGAAUUUGGGGUGUAGUCAUAAUUAAAGCUAUUUACCCCUCCCAAAUGACGUGUUUAGUGGGGAUCGAACUCGAUAGCACUUCCCACAAACUCAGCCUACGUUGCCAACUGAGCCACAACUAUUUGGUACUGUAUGUAACUUUUUUAACCAUUCAAAAUAAAUUGGUUUAAAAUAACAUAAAAAAAUAUUAAGCGUUAUCUUUCGAAAUGAUUGAUGGAAGGAAAAAUCCCACGACUCUAUACAUAUUUGGGACAUUGAAGAUUUUAGAUACCGAAACUGUCGAUUUCAAAGCAACUAAACAAACAAACACUACAAGUACGCCAUUUAACGACUUUCAACAGUCAAAACAGCACUAUACAAAUAAAAGGCAUGAGCUCUGUACUGUCGCUCGGUCAGUCCACGCGGCAAAGCCUCCGCAAACAUAGCGCUUUGUUCUAAAUUCUCUCAAGCGGUGUGUGUGAGAGUGAGACACUGAAAUGACACAUUCGCUCCUUCAUACAACAAAAUGAACGCGUCAGUUGGAUCACUCACCCCACGUCGUCAUCACCGAAAAUUGAGGAACCCGAUAACCUUUUACCGUCGCCGGCACUACAAGCCGCCGGGAACCCCAUUCUUAAGCUGGAAGUUUGAUGAAAGACAGAGGGCUUAUGGGGCUGUUAAGGUUUCUGCCAGAAAGCUGGCUGCUGCCCUCUGGCAAUUGCGUUUGUUGGCUAAGGUUUCAGAUUCUGAUGUGCUUAAAUGUGGAUCAUGUGAUCGCUUCAGUUUUGAGGUUUGUUCUUUUCUUUUUCUAUUUUUUUGGGAUUUGAGUAACUGCGUUGUUUGGUUGAUGAGAAACGGUGGGAAUGUAAAUAGUUGAUUUUCUUGGCAUUGAAUUGAUGAUGGGUUUUUUAUCCUAAAAACAUUAAUUUGCAUGCAUGCGCGGUCGGUGAUCAUGUGUUAAUUUGGAUGAAUGUUCAAGGUUGAUCAUUGUUAUCAAUUGGUAAAUUACGGAAGAGUUUUAAGCUUUUGAUACCAUAAUUCAUCAAUUUUUAUUCCAGUUGCCAUUCUCAAAGCAUCAUUAAGUGAAGCAUAUUUCUUGGUGCUCUAGUUUUUGGAUUUGUUGUUUGAUUUAGUUUGCAUUUGGGUAGGGCAGGAUUAAUCCAAAAUUUGAAAUUCUCUGCUUUAUAUAGAAUGACUUGAUUUAAUGCAUUUGAUGUAAGUUAUACUACUGAUAGGUUUCGUGGCAAUUUUGAAAAUUAAUUUAUAUCAUUAUCGAUCUUGCAGUCUCAAGCCAGACCUGGAAAUAUUGAUCUUUCCUCACAUUGCUCUGGCAGUGGAUAUGGUGUAGGAAGCAAGGACCUCCCAAGGAGUCCUCUGCUUCGUCAUGGUUCAAGCCAUGAGAUUUUGCAUAAGGUAUGGGUUUACAUUUCAGUAGGAUACCUAUUUUUUCAACUGUUUUCUAUAGUUUUUAUUGAUAAUCAACUCAAUUAUGUUGAUCGAUGGUCUAUGAAAAUUGUUUGUAUGAACUUUUGGACCACAGAAUUUGUAAUAAUUGUAUUGGUACGGUGGCAAGUAAUCUUAAUUAGUCUGUUCUGCAUGUCAGUUAAACCAACGUUUGUCUUGCAGAUAGCAAAAUUAGCUGCUCAAUUUGUUGUUGUUUCCCAUGUAAACUUAAUUUAUAAUUGUUAAUCCUACAUUAAAAUUCUCGGAGUGUAGUGUCUGAUUUCUCUCAUUUAAAUAUUUCUCUAGCAUGAAUCUUAUUUGCCAUAUCCCAACUUGGUAAUGGAAGGGGUGACAAAGUGGGAUCCUGGCUGCUCAAAAACAGCAAGGGAGGCUUAUUGCCUUUACAACCAUGUGAAGCUUCUUGAAGAUCAAGUUACUACUUUCUCUUUUGUUUCUGCUCUGCAAGCAGAGCUCGUGCAAGCUCGAUUAAGAAUUCACGAACUUGAAGAUGAGCAUCGGUCCUCUAAGAAGAAAUAUGAAAACUUGGUUAGAAAGCUCAGAGAGGAAAGAAACUCGUGGUAUGUCAGAAAACACUAUAAAAUGGAGGCAAUUGUUGAUGAGUUAAAGGAUGAAUUAAGUAAAGAAAGGAAAAGCCGGAAGCAGAUCGACUUUCUCAACUCUAAAUUUGUCAAUGAGCUGGCUAAGGCCGAGUCAUCAGCAAAGCAGUUCAUGCAAUAUUAUGAGGAAGAAAAAAGGGCCAGACAGUUACUGGAGGAAGUUUGCAAUGAGCUGGCUAAAAAAAUCGGAGAAGACAAGGCUGAACUGGAAAUGUUGAAGAGUAAAACUAUGCGAAUUCGUGAAGAGGUGGAAGAAGAGAGAAACAUGCUGCAGCUAGCUGAGAUUUGGCGCGAAGAACGUGUGCAGAUGAAGCUGGUUGAUGCAAAACUGGCUCUUGAACACAAAUAUUCUCAGAUUAAUAAGCUGGUAGAGGAACUCGAAAAUUUUCUGAUGUCCAAUGCUGCAACCCUGGAUGUGAUGGCAUUAAGAAAAGCUGAGUUAAUCAUACGGGCAGUCAAAUUAUUGAAUAUUCAGGAUAGUGACGAGUUUGAAUACGUGGCCCCAGCAUCAGAUAGCAUAUUCUCCAUUUUUGAAGAACUGCGACAGGGUGUUGAUGCAAGGGAGAUGGAAGUUGAACCUCUAACGAAUUAUAGUCCUAAUUAUGAUGCUUCUAACCACCACAUUGUGAGUCCUGAGGUAAAUGAUUUUGACAACAACCAUGUGCUAAAGCAUUUAAAUGGCUUUAUUGAUUGUAACAAUGGUUUAAAAAAAGAUUCUAGAUCUUGGGAAUGUGCUAGACAUAGUGAGGAUCAAGGUUCAAGAUGUUCUGUUGGAGGAAGAGACCCCUCUAUUAACAGUGGUGGCCAAGGCAAAGUAGCUUCAAAGAGCACAAUAAUGCAUCAUGGGAAUGGUGGUCAGCAUUCUCCAAAUACAGAUGCCAGUGAUGAGUGCUCAGUCUCAGGAGAACAGCCCAGGCAGAAAGCAUGCUCUGUAUCUAAACUUAAAUUAGAUGAGGGGAAUGGAGUUCCAAAUGGAACAGUUUCUAAUGCAAGGGCAAUGAGAAAGUUGGUAGACGGUGGUUGCAAUCAAGGGGAUUUGACAGAACAGUUUGUGUUACCGGACUUGGGAAAUCCACACAUAACUCGAGGAAUGAAAGGGUGCACUGAAUGGCCAGGAGUCACCCGGAAGAUCAACAUGAAGGAUAAGCACUUGAAAGCUAUGAUGGAAAACCAGAAAACUCAUUUGCGCAAAGUUCUUAAAUAGAUGAGUAGCAGCAUGUACUUUUCCCCAAAUUUUGCAGUUGGAGAAGCUGGCAUCAAAUCCAGACUCAAGAGAGUGCAGCAAUUUUUGUUGAUGAGUCUCCUGCAUGCAUACAUAACUACUGCUAGCUUUUUUCUUUUUCUCUUUUUGGAUCUUGAUAAUUUUUAUACUGCAUCAUUGAAAUAUUGAUGUUUGUUUAAUUGCUUAUAUAUGUUUAAUCCCUGCAAAUCGCAGGCAAGCCAUGCAUUGCAUAAAAAAAAUUUCAUUAGUGUGUGAUUUCACAGAGUUGGGCAAUAUAUAAUUCACUUACUGAAGGUGAAGCAACUCAUAGCAUAAAGUUUAAAUGGAUAUGUACAAGCUGCUAAAAAAAGGUGACGUGUUGGCACUCGGCAAAUAUUCAUUAUCUGCCGUCAGUAAUAGAAACCUGGAGAUAAGAUGAUCAGUGAAUUAUGUUGCUUAACUGUGUAAUCAAUCUUUAGUAUGUGUUGUUCUAUAUUUUUCAUUUAAACAAUAUGACUUCAGUAUCUAGCUAGCUUUCUGAAGUACCAUUUAUUUGAACGGAAACUUGAUGAACUAUUAUCUCACGCUUAUAGAUCUGAUUUCGUACUUGACAAAAUUCAAUCAAGGUUAUGAUUAGUAGGUUACUGAUUAAAAAUAUAUAAAAAAAAAAAAAUCUUAACUAAACAUGUACCGUUAUAAAGUGCAUACACAAUCAUCUUUAAAAGUUCAGUAUAUGAAUGAGAUCCAAACUUGAAAUCGGCAAGGUAAAGUUUCCUAAUUAUUAGGUAGCAAUGCAGGAAUGUUUCUGUGAUUGUGUGGAUCAGAAUUUUAAGAAAAUUUUCACGAACUACUCUUAUUUUCUAAGAGUUCAAGUUCAACAUUGACAUGAAACGAAUUAAGUGAAACAAAUAAAAGCUCCUAAAACGAAAGCUAUAUAAUGAUAUAUAUACAUAUACCUUGUUUUUUUUUUCUUUUUAUUAUACGGAUACGCUUUUAAGCCAUUUAAUUUAAUAAAAUUUUUUAAUGCUAUUAAAUCGUAUGAUUUUAUAGUGCAUUAAAAAAUAAUUUUAUUAAGUUGUAUGAUUUACCAGCAUGUCUUUAUUAAACAAAUAAAAAUGAGGACACCUGCACCGGAGAAUUCUUUUAUAUAUGUAUGUAUUUAUAUGUGUGUUCAUUAUUAUCGAUUCCAUCAGUUUUUAUCGGCCGACAAAUGAUCAAUCCUUAAAUGCCUCACCUUUAUCAAAAUUGACAUAUCAAUAGAAAGAAAUAUGUUGCUCUUUAUGUUGAUCAACCACAAGAAUUUGAGGAUAAAGGAACGAGUUUAAAAAUUAAAUAGAAAAAGCAAAGCAAAGCAAACAGGGUACAUUGCUAAUCUUAACAAAUGGAUAAAGAUUGCAAGUUUUCAAAAAAUGAUAAAGCAAAGUUGAAAAUACAGAGAUCAAAUACAUCUCACAUCAAGCAACAUGCGGCUAAUUCAUGCCACACAAAUCAUUUCAAGUACGCCCAAGUCAAUCAAAAUAAAGCAAGACAUAAUAGCAAACAAAAAUGACAAUAUACAUCUAUUCCGUGUCUCUUGGUCUUGGGAGUUUGGAUAUAAUGCUUUUAAAAGUCAUAGUUAAUUAACGAACGUAAGUUUCAAGGUACAUAAUUUUUCCAAGUUUUUGGACACCAAAAUUAUGAUCUCUUGUGAAAUUUUGUGAUCAAUGAAAUUAUAAUUAAUAAUAUUAUUAUCAGUAAAUAGAAUAAGAUGCCAAGCAGAUCAGCUAUAGUGCAGUAAAGUACUAGCUCUGCAAGAAACAUGAUUUGCACUGAAGCCCACUACCCAUGAUCAAGAUUCAAGAACAAGAAAUGGACCUAUCACCACCACCAGAACCAAAUGGGUCAGAAAUCAUAAUGUGCAAGUGGAGCAAGAAUAUUUUACCACAUUCAUCAUUGCAAAGAUGAAGAUUGUAUUUUUAUAUACAUAAAGUGUCGUCAGUACUUAAAUGUCACUGUAAUAACUGCAAGUUGAAUGACAGUGAAUAUAUAUACGCGUGUGUGUGUCAGUGUGUGUGUCAUGGGUUGUUAAUUUGUGAUAAUUUAAUUUGAAAGUGACCUAACACCGAACUGCAUAUAAAAGAUUUCAAAUAGUUCAGCAGACAGCAGCGACCCUUGUGUAGUAAGACAGUAAAUGAUGGGCGGGAAAACAAGAAAAAUUGAUCAAAACAUACGGUUUUGGUUCUUCAUUAAAUAUUGCGACCAUCUAAUAAAAUAUAUGAUGACGGUUCUUCAUUCUUGAAGAGCACUGUGGUGCGGCUGCAGCAAACAAGAGGAGGGGAAUAUCCCCUUUCAAAAUUCUGGAAGGGCAAGAUUCUGAUGCAUUAUUUUUUAUCAUACAACAUGAUCAGCCCAAUAAGUUAUUCAAACAGGAAUCUCACGUCUUUAAAAAACUAUAUUUUGCACAUUAUAAAAUAUGAACUAGCUUUAGUUUCUUGCCAUGGAAGACUCGAUAGAGACGGCUGCUUAGUAUAUAAAAUUUUUGGGUUAUUAUUGUAUUGUUUGACAACCUCUAAGAAUUAUUGAGGGAAAUUGUUCCUCAAUCACCUCAAGACCUCAAGUAUUGAUUUUGUAUCAAUCAUUCACUUUAUCAUCUAAGAAGAUAAACUAGAAAGGGUUGUAAAUUUUUUUUUUUUUUUUUUUUACCGCCUUAUCUUUCCCAAAAAAAAAAAAAGCAUCUUUGGACUCAGCUUCAAUCCUCAUAUAAUGGUUUGGUGUACGCAGUAAAAGCAUGCAGUAGAGUAGAAACAAUGAACCACAAUGGACAAACCAAAAACAAGAAUCGAAUAGUAGUAUAUUUAUUUUAUAUCUUUUAACAUAAAUUAAAGCAUAUGUAGAGAAUGGAAUCUGGUAGUACACAUUACACACAGAUGAAUAUCCACGUAAAAUCAUGUAAAAGUAAUCCCUCCAAAAACAACCGCCUGGCGAGGUGCGCAUGCUGAAUGAAUAGUGAGGAAAAAGUCAGGGUUUGAACAACAAAAAUAAGCAACUCUGGGCACCGAUCACAUGACAGAGAUCAUAAAAAAAAAAAUGUUGAAAAUCACUCUCUCCAAGGUAUCAAAAUCCCUUGUAGAUGUGGUGGCAACAUCAAUCUUCAAAGUUGAUGAGAUUGGGCACAUGCAUGACACGAGAGAAAGAAGGCUGGCCGGCCCCAACCCGAAAGUUACAAUUCCAGAUAGAGAUUGAUCGCUGCUAUUUAAACAUGAAAAUGUUCCUGAAACUUGAGCUGCCACCACUAGUAUUUUAUAAUUGUUCUGAAUUUAACCAUUUUUUUUCUAUUCACUUACGUUUGUUGCUGUUUAAUUUGAUCUGUGGUGAUCUGUCAUUCCCUGCCUGCUUGAUUUAUCGUUUUUGACUGUGACUCGUCUUUACAAGUUCUGCAAGGGAAGUGAAAAAUCGUGUGUUUCCCAUCAGAGGAUUGACUACGUACUGCUGUAAUUGGCCUAGCACUGAGAUACUUUAUUAUGCAGUAGCUAGCCGUUUUGAUCAAUACUUUCACUGUACUGAGCGCCUUUGGUAUUGUUUUUGAAUUUAUUUUAUAGAAUAAAAAUGAUGUGUCUUCUUUGAGUUAAGUUUAAAAAUGCACUCGUUUCUUUGUUUCGAAAAUAAAAGGCGAAAUAUGUUUACAAGUCUAUGCGAUAAAAUUUUUGCUGAUGCAAAAAAAUAAUGCGUUUAGAGAAUAAUAUCCAAUUUCAUUCAAGACAUCAAAAAGUAAUUUGAAAUGGGAAGAUGGGAUGUGAUUGUGAUCCCCACGUAAUUAAACUUGGUCAGGAACGACAAUGUAAAGAACCGGGAGUGGUCCCCACAUGACAGAGAACAAAUUAUGAGAGCCGUCAAUUUUUUGUGCUCCUCCGUCUCCUUCGCAAAAAGUGGAGACAAAAAUAAUUCAUUCUCCAUGCAUUCAUCAGAAAUCACCCAGCAAACAGUUUUUCUGCAUUUUCCUUCUCCGAAAAUGAAGAAUGACUGGCUGAAAGAGUUACCAAACAGGCUCCGAAGUUUGCCUAUUUCUUCUAUUCUUUUCAAGAUCAAUUCAUUGAUUGAUCCAGAAAAUCCGUGAGCCCAAUUGGUACCGGCUGUUGAUGAGGACACUGACUAUUUCAAGUUUCCAUUAGAACUCUUUUCCUUCCCCCCUUUUUUUGUCUUUUUUUAAUAUAAAAUGUAGCGUAGAGGUGAUUUUCUUUGUAAAGUGCGUGUAAAUUUAUGAGAUAGUUUUGUAAAAUUUUGAGUUGUACUAAGAGUAAAUUUAUGUGUGUGUAUAUAUAUAGAGAGAGUAAUUUUCUGAUUUGAAAUUUUAAAAUGAGGGAAAAUUUAAAAAAAAUUUCAAUGAAAUUUUUUUGAAUUUUGCUGCACUUUAAAAUUUUAGAUUAUAUAUAAAGAAAAAUGUAUGUACUUAAACUCUUAAUAGGUUUCCCCUUGAAAAAAUUCAAAAAAAAAAAAAAAAACAGUGGCAUGGUUAAUUAAAAAUUUUAAACUCUUUGGAUUAUGAAUAAAAACCAGAACUCAUGCUAUUUAUUAUUAUUAUUAUUAUUAUUAUUAUUAUUAUUAUUAUUAUUAUUAUUAUUAUUAUUAUUAUUAUUAUUAUUAUUAUUAUUAUUAUUAUUAUUAUUAUUAUUAUAGAUUUUAAGAUUUAUUUAGUAUUUUAGAUUAUUUUACAUUUGUUGUUUGUGAUGCUAUUAACUUGGAUUGUUAUUAACAAUUAUUUUAGAUUUAGAGGUUGUUUGUUAAAUGUCUAAAGUCUGAAAUUUUAUUAAUUUCAGACAUUUUCUAAAAUAUGCUUGUUUGUUUUUUUGGACUUAUGUUUGAUUUUCAGACAUUUACAUCUUAAUAGAAAAAGUAAACUUUUGUGACUUUUAUUUGAAUGGAAAAAGGUCUGAAUGACAAGUAAAUAUUGUAUUCCAAAAGUAUCUCUGUAAAAUAACUUCUUUCCUAAACUAUAAAAUCUAAUCCUCUUUUUUUUUUUAAUUUAUAAGGACAUAAAUGUCAAAUAAUCAAGUUUAAGAUAUUUUUUUAUUGUAAAAACAAACAAGAUGCCACUUAUAUUCAGAUAUUUAAAAAAGAAAAACAAACAUGUCAUUCAGAUUUUCGUAUUCAGACCCAUUCAGACUUUAGAAAAAUUCAGACCCAUUUAGAUUUCAGACAAAAAAACAAACGCUACCUUAGUUAACAUUGAAUGAUUUUUUUAAAAAAAAAAGGUAAAAUGUUAUAAAUUUACAAAUAAAUAUUUUAAAUGUGCAAAUCUAGAUACUCAGAAUAUCCACUCAAAAUCUAAACCAAUACUAGGGACAUCCAGAUUUGCUUUAUUUUUUCAAAAAAUACUUGUUUAAAAUUCUUUAGUGGUAUUACAAAAUGAGUAAUGAUAUAGCCACAAACUCUUGUACAAACUUAUUUUGUACAAACUGAUGUGGCAUGAUAAGAUUGGUUGAAUUAAAUAUCACUUGGCCCACAUGAUUUGUUUUUAUUAUUUUAUAUUUUCAUUCAACCAAUGAAUUAAUGCCACGUCAGUUUGUACAAAAUAAGUUUGUACAAGAGUUUGUGGCUGUAUCAUUACUCUUACAAAAUAAAUGUAGGUAGUUCUGUCAGAUAUUUGAUCUUUUAGUAUAAACUACAUAUGAGUAAUUCAAAUUUUUUAAAAAAUAAAUAAAAGUCCAUUCUUAAGUCUUAACUAGUCACGCUGGCUGGCUUUUCACUUUUCAUUAUUAACAAAAACAAGCCCACUUUGGUCCAACCUAAUGCAAUCAUUGCGUGGCUAUCAUACUGUAGAUCUCGUUAUAUUAAUUAACAAAAUAAAGUCGCGGUCAUGUUCAUGUCACCCUGCAAGAAUUCUUGAUUAAAACAGGAUAGCUUAUGAGAAAGAAAGAUAUAUCAAAAGUGAGUUUGAGAAAUUGAAAUUAGAAUAAAAUUAAUAGGGUGACAAAUCAAAUUUGAAACCUUCACUCAAACAAAUACCAUAUAGCCGAAAAACUCAAACUUUGAAUAUGAUGAGUAAAAGACUAAGAAUAAUUUUAAUUAUAUAUGUAAAUAUUAAUUACAAGAUUAAAAUUAGAAAUCACCCAGGGAGAACUAGCUAGUGAGAUCACAUGGGAAACAUUUUCGGGGUUGAUUUCGUUGUUUAAAGAGUUGGAGUUGUUGAAUGGCAUUUGCAUGCUAAGGCGCACGGUGGUGGCCUGGUGAGUUGAGCGGCUGAGCAGCAGGUGAGAUUCUGAUUCCGCAACAAAAUGACACAAACAGAUCUUGUCUUUACUUGGCACCCAAGCCCAUGGAACGCUCUCUCAACUUGCAUUACCCGACACGAAUCUUGUUUUCCUGAUUGGGGAUUCUGGCGUAGUUUUUCGGAUGUCAGUAUAAAAGGACCGAGUUGUGUGGGUCAUCUAAAUUUUAGGAUCUAUUGGCACUUGGUGUUGGUGCCCUACAAUUACAAAUGCUUCUUUUAUUUAUUUAUUUUUCCCUCAAAUGCUCAAAUAACAAUAUAAUAUAAAUAUGAUCGGACUCCUACUCUACAUUAUUGGAUUUUUAUAACCCAAAAAAAAGAAAAAUUGUAGGGUUAUACAGAUAGCCGCCAAUUGAUCUAACUAGCAGAUCCAAAUUGGGUACCGGGGAUUCCUUAUCACAUGGCUGUGUCGAAAUUGAAUUAACAUACGAUUUUCAUGACAUUCAAAUAAUUAUACAACGUGCACGCUCUGGAACAUCAUUAAUUUUCUCGACGUGCAUCUUUAUUUAUUAAUAUUAUUUUACCAUUAUCAUUUACCCAGUUUGCAAACUAAAGCUGAAAAAAGAGUGCCAUCGAUCAUUCAAUGAGAAAAACAUGCCUAAUAAUGGGGUCCUAGCUAGUUAUUAUGUUGUACAGCAAAAUUUACUGAGGGGGACAAUUUUAACCGUCUGAUCAAUCAAACAAUCUCAGCGCGUCAAGCAUAGGAUGCUCGAGUAUUAUGAUAGAUACAAUGCUGGGCACGGCGGUGGGCUGAGGGUCCACACCGCGCAAACCAACACAAGGCCGGUCACCGCCCAUCUGGGUCCCCCAAACCCUAGCCACUUCCCAGAAUACGCCUAGCAUAGGUGCCUCAGUUUUCAGUAACACCACACCACCAUUUGUCAUCUUUAUUAGAAUGCAGUAUCGCAUCACCCCACCAGAGACAACUUGUGCAAACUAAAAACUGUUACCCAGACAUUAGCGAACUAUAUAAGCACGACUAUAUAUAUAGUGGCUCCCUUACGAUUUGUCUUCAUGAUUGUGAAACGUAUGAUAUUGAGAGCGAAUGGUGAUAAGGUUACUUGUUUACUUCACAAAGGACAAGUUCUUACAGGACCUACAUUUUGACCCUACCGCUCCUAUUCUAAUUAAUUUCUAAAUCGUCCAAUGUGCCCAUCACAAUUCACAGGCGACUACUGCUUUGCUUUUCUAUUUAAUAUCUCUGCUUCUCAAUCUCACCGCACAAGUGGGAUUAGUUUAAUUCACAUCAUUAACUAAUUAAGAACAUACCAAACCGUCAAUUUUGUCUUUCUAAUUAAUUAUUUUUAAUUGCUUGCGAUUAGUAUGCUUAUAUUAACCUGUCAAAGUCGGACACGCAAAUGGAAGGUGACAGCAUCGAGGAGCCCCCAACGACUGAAGCAUACACGUUUUGGGCAAUCAUAGGACGAUGAAGGUUCGUGCGCCCACGUGGAUCUUGGGGCCCUUAUUGGAUGCACUUGACCCAGUCAAACAACGUCGGUCAGAGUAAAUGCAAAUCUAACGUGGAUAAAUCUAAUCUUAACUCGAGUCUUAAGUCUCCUAUGGAGGAGUAAUACUUCGAGAUUUUAAUAUUGGAAUCUUAAUUUAAAUGUUAUGUAUCACUCUUUAUUUGGAUGAUAAAUAUUAUUUACAAAUUAUUUUAUUUUAUUAUCUAAUAUAUGAAUAUCAACAUUUGUUAGAAUUCAAAUGUUCAAAUCUUUAGUAUUACUCCAUCUAAAGUGUUCAAUCAAUUAAACAUAACGUGUGCAAUACAAUUGUGAAUUUUGAAUUUCUAAAAAGUAAUGUUAUAACUAUAAUUUUUUAUAUAAACUAAUAUACCAUUAAAUGAUUGUUAAAUAAAAAUAUAAAAUAAUAAAAACACAUAUUGUGGACUAAGUGAUAUUUUUAUUCAACCACUUAUAUGAUGUUAUAUAUGUUUUGACAAGAUAGUUUGUAUAAAAACGUUUAUAGCCGUAUCAUUACUCUUUUCUAAAACUUAUUUAUUUAUUUUAAUAAAACAUAUUGGCACUAUAAUUGAAAAAAAAAAUUGUGGAAAUCCUCUCUAAAUAAUUUUGUUGUAGUGCAAUGCUUCAAAAUAUUUGAUUAAAUAAUUUGAAUCCUUUUAUGACCUAAACUCUCUAACGGUUCUGUAAUUGAGUUAGUUAAACACCUUCUUUUUUCAUCCUUGAGAUGUAUGGGUUCAAAUCUCUUCAUAAAUGUGAGAGUUUAUUCAAGUCUAUUAAUAGAUCUAAGAGUUUAUUUAUUUAUUAUUUUCUUCAAUUUUUUUAUUUUUAUAGAUUUCAGCUUUGACAUCAAGACAGUCUCCUAUAGGCAUUGCCUUGGUCCUAGCAAAGUUACUGAGCUAUAUUUAUUAUUAUUUGUAUUGUACUCUAGAGUGUCAGUUAUAAGGAUACAUUUGUAUGUAUGUAUGUAUGAGAUUUUAAAAAAUUUUAAAGCAUUAAAAUUUGAAAGGAUAAAUUUUGGAUUAUUCCCUCAUAAAUUAACUAUUUUUAAGUCAAUUCAUUAUUUUUAAAAACCUCAAGUUAUCCUCAAAAAUCAUCAUCUCUAUCAUUUUUAACGGUCAAAAGGAUAAAAUGAUGUUUGUACAUAACAAAUCUCUAUUUAGGUUAAUUUUCAUUAGAUCCAAAUGUUUCACAAAAUUUUAACACAGCUAAUUAUUUCAAAAAAUACAGUAUACACCCAAAUACUUUAAAAAUUUUCAAUUUUCACAUUUAAAAGAAUAUAUUAAAAAUAGAUAAAGCAAUAAUUAUUAAUGAAAAGAAUAACUUAUAGAGCAGUGCAACACAUCCUAAAUUUUUUAUCCUAAAAAUUAUUUUGAAAAUAUGCUAUUUAUCAAUUAAUUAUGAGAUAAUACCAACUAUUUCACUUAGAUCUUGUAAAAAAUUACUAAGCAUUCAAUUAUAACAUAUUAUCUUAGAUGAAAUUUGGAUUAAAGUAUUUAGAUGCGUAUCAUUACUCCAACCUGUAUAACUCUUAAAGGAAUUUCCUUAAAAAAAAAAAAAAAAAUUCUUCUUCUUUUUUGUCGUCUUCUUCUUCUCAAACACUCAUCAUGGCCUUAGUGUUAACAGUACUCCCUUGUUUAAUAACCAUUUCGUUAAGUAGAUCCUGCAAUCUAAACAUCUUCUUUUUAAAACCCUAAAUUCUUCUCAAAUUCACCAUUAAACCCUAACACCAAGUUAAUCAUUAAUAUUUCAACACCCAUAUUCGUUGGAAUGGGUUUGCUUGGUUUGGCUUGGAUUGAAUGAUUUAUGUUGUUAAUUUGACUAGAUUUUGCCUGUUAGGGUUUUAAAUUAUGACUUAGAUUGGAAUAUUGUGGAAAAGUGAAAAGUUUCCCUAAGAAAGAGAUGAAGAUAAUGGAUUCUGGUUUUCCAAAUUAGGGAUUUUGUCACUUACUGUAAGUUUAUUAUUAUUUUUUUAUGAGUCUUACAUGUUUGACUUAGUGGAGGAGGUAUUUGACUUGGUCAAAGUGUGUUAUAAUUUAAUAAGUGAGUUGUUGAUAUUUAUUUGAGACUAUAUAAAGGAAAAAUUCUACAUUAUAUCAUAAGUAACAUGUCAGUUAUAUAAUAAAUAAAUAAUAUUAUGAUAUAUGUGUAUUUAUUUUAAAAAUCGUACAAGUGGUAUUUACAUUAAAUUUAAUUACAUAUAUACGUUAAUUGAUUGUAUUACCUUUAAUGUAUUAUACAAUUCUCCAUUAAAGAGUGGAUUCUUUGGUGUGGGAUUAGUUUCAAUAUAAUUUGUAAUUAUUAUUAAAGAGGAGAAAUGUUUCUUUAUAUUUUAAAAUUAAUUUUUUUAUUAGGUCUCCAAAAGCAGACAUAAAUGGGUAACAUAAGUAAAUAAAUGCGGUGAUGGGGGUAUUUUAGAAACCCUAAGGGGAUAAGUGAUAGAUGUCUUUAAUAGUAGGUGUAAAAAACUAAGUUAAUAUAUUCUGUUAUUAGGAGGCAUUUUCAUAUUUUAACAAGUAAAUAUGGUAAUCAAUCGUUAAGAAUGAAUCUUUUUAAAGAUAAUUUUAAAAAUUUUAAAAAUUAAAGGAGUAAUUUUAAAAACACUAAUUACAAGUUAAUCCGAGAUUUAGCCAACCUGAAAAUCUGAAAUGACCGAAAUUAGUAACGAGUCAAAAUUAUGAUAGACCAUCCAAAUUUGGCAAUUCUACUCUCUUGACAGGCACACUUCCAAAAACCAGGACCCCUUCAACACGUGUGACAACGAUCAACUCUCUUGCACGUCUCCCACUCCCACCAAUCACCAUAAAAAUAAAAAUAACGAAAUUCAGAAAAAAUGAACUCCAAAUUAACAUGAAAUGCGCGCAGUUGGUGUCGCUGUUAUUGCAACGAAAGCAACUUCUAUAUAUACAUGCCCACUACACCAAAACACAACCUAUGCUCUUAUGCCAUGAGCUCCUAACUAAUAAUGGACUCAUAAUAAUUCUAACAACUUGUUUUUAUUUCUUGAUUUUGUAACGUUAAUUAUUAGAUAUUCUUUUAUUUUAUUUUUUCUUCUUUCGUUUCUGGUUCUAUAUAUUUAGGAUGCUCCAUGGCGAAGGGCCGGAAAUUGACAACGAGCAGAAGCGAACGGUAUUUGGGAAGUUACAGCUACAGUAACGGUCAAGGGACAAACGGCGGCGUAUCGGAGCUUGGCGAGGAGGAUGUCUGGUCGACGGUUGAUGACGUUGAGGACAGUAACGACGAGGUUGUUAUAAAUAAUCCAAGAAACGAGUGGAGUCCACGCGCUGCGGGGGAGAGUAACGUGGGCUUUUCUACUAGGAGCCGGCGAAGGAACACCAGGGAUGAUCACCACGUGGGUGGCCUAUCGCUGGCUUUUGAUGACGCGGGCAAAACGUCGGCAUCUAGGAUAGUGCAUCAGUUCAGGGCGAAUGACAGCAUGGCUGCAUCGCCACGUGGGCAUCAAAUGGCCACGUCAGCCCCGGUGAACGUCCCUGAUUGGAGCAAGAUUUACCGGGUUGACUCGGUCGACUCGAUGCAUGACUCUGAUGACGAACGGGACAUGGAGAUGAUUCCUCCUCAUGAGUACUUGGCUCGUGAGUACGCGAGGAGCAAGAAAACGGGUGGCGCAUCGGUUUUUGAGGGCGUGGGUCGCACGCUCAAGGGCCGUGACCUCCGGCGCGUGAGGGAUGCAGUGUGGAGCCAGACUGGGUUUGACGGCUAAGCAAAAUUAUUUUCGACCAAAAAAAAAAAAAGAGCUUCUAGUAUUACUAUGAUUGUUACAUAUACAGAUUAUCCUGAGCAAUGAUUCGGUUGAGUCAACUCAGUCCUAGCCCAUUUGACUCAGCAGGGAGUGAGCUCAAGCACCGUUCUGUCAUGGAUGAACUAGUGAGCUGAAAAUGAAACGUGGAAUUUGUGGUCCAAUAUUUGUUCAGUGGCAUCAAAUCUUAUGCGUCUGAAAUCCUGAAUCUUUCUAGAUGAAACGGGCAAGCGUAAUAUGGCCAAAAUUUUUUGCACCCAAAAGAUUAAAUAACAUAUUAGUGCAUGCAUACGAUUAGUAAGUCAAUUAUUACACUAAAAAUCUCCCAGAAGCAUAAUUUCAGGAAUUACACUCGGUUUUAGCACUUAACAGAGUAAGAAAAAGUAGUACCAAAUGACAAGUACUUGUGAAAAUUAGUUAGUGUAACCAAGUUACUCAUAAUUUGUGGUUAUUGCAGUUGAUGUGGCAGUGGCACAUCUUGAUGCCAAAGUUCCGAGAUAACACAAGAGAGAUUGAUGCGGGUAAUUUGGAAGACAGAUCAAAGAAUCAAAUCUGAAAGUACAGAAAUGGGUUAAGUGAACUUAAAUGGGUAAUAAAAUUAAAGAUAUUGCAAACUGAAAUUGGUGACAAAUAAUUGUUAGGGAGGGGUGGGGGACCAAUUCAACUUCAGGUAGGUGACGGACUGAGAAUGGGGGUCACAUUGGGCGCAAGUUGACAAAGUCAAGUUUUCAUAAAAUAGAAAUUGGGGUGAUUUGAUAAAAACAAUGUGUGGGGUUCGGAUUCAUUAUCAUUAUGACUUGCCUUUUACAAGAAAAAGGACUUGAACCUUUCUAUUGUGCUCACAACCCAUAUCAGUUUUGAGCCAUUGGUUUGUUUUUUUUUUUUUUUUUUGCUUUUUACUUCCUCCACUCUUUGUGCAAUCAACAUAUGCUAUGCUGUGAGAUAUUGGAUGUACAUUCAUUCAGAGGGCCCAUAUGUAUGAUCAUCAUCAUCAAUCACCAUGAUAAAAAUAAAUAAAAAAAUAAAAUAAAAAAUCACAUUCUCGUAUUUAGAGAAGGAUUUGAUUAAAUAAGAUGUAACAAAACGGUAGAUCCAAAACUUGUAACCUAAUUUUAGUGGAGGUUUUGAUUAUUAUAGUCAUUUUCAUAACAAAAAUGUUCAAAACUAAACGUUAUCAAUAGUUACUGUUGCUUUGAAACUAACUGUCAUGUUUCCAUUUAUUUUAAAGGAUCUUGGGAUUCGAGAGUUAUCAACUUAUCAUACAAUCUAAAUUCUAGCAUAAUUAAUGGUGCAUUUGGUCAACUGAACUAGCGGUAUUAUAUUAUAGUGUACUGUAUUAAUAUAUUAUUGUAUCGUAUAAAAUGAUAUUAUUUUAUAUUACUCUUAAAAUUAAAUUAAUAUUAUUUAAAUUUAUUAAUGUUUUAGGGUUUUAUUAUUAAUUUUUGAAACUAUGUUUUAGAUAAUUAUUUACCUAUAUUAAUAUUUGUAAUAUAAAAAUAUUUAAUAAUAUACUAUUAUUCUAUAAUACAACAUUUAUAUUACAAUAUAACUAUUUCUAUACAUUAUUAUUAUGAUAUAGUAUAGUUUACUAUUACAUUGUAAAAAUUUAACACUAUAUAAUUUAAAUAGUAUAAUAUAAAUUAUAUUAUAUGAUAAAACAAUAUAAUGUUAAACUAAAAAAUAGUUUUAUAUAUUAAUGCCGAGUAUAAUUGUUUAAUAUAAAUUUAAGUAAAUAAUUACUGAUUAAAUAAAAGUUAUAAACUUAUUCUUGUUUAUUAAGUAAUAAAUAAUUAAAUAUAAUUAAUAUACUUUUUGCGUAAUUAAAUAAUUAAAAUGAUUUUAUGUAAUGAAAGUAAAAUAACGUAUUAUCAUUUGUUUAUUAAAUAUUUAGGUCUACUACUAUCGUAUAUUAUUAUUUAAAUUAAAAUUUUAUUUAAAUAAUGAAUAUUUGAUAAAUUUAAAUUUAAAUGAUUAUCUUUAAAAUAUGAAUAGCAUUUUAAUGCAAUGCAACCUAAACCUUUUCUUCUCUCCCCAUGAGUUUAUUUUAUACACUUUUCAUUAUAUUAGUCGCCUUUUUAAUGCAUAGCAAUAUAAUAUAAUGUAAAGUGUUCAAACGCAUCCUAAAUAAAGAAAUGAAUCAUGUGCCCGGCGCCUAGCAGCAAAGUUGUGAAGAUGCGUGUAUUUGUAAGAACUUAGAAGCAAAUUGUAUUUUAAAUUCAUGAUUAUAUAAGAUAAGCACAAUUUCACUCGUUAAUUUAUUCGCUAAUUAAGAAUAUUCAUGCUCAUCUUGACCAAUCCAUUGCACUCGCAUGUGCAAAUAUGUGCUCUUGUGCAAUUCAUUCACCAGAGAAAGGGAGGACUUGGCCCAUCUAGUACUCCAUUUGGUCCUUGAAAUAAAGGGCAGCCCGAAGUAGGCAUUGGCAAGCGUGAGCCCAACCUGAUAAUACAAAUAAAAGGCCCGAGUCCGAUAAAAAAACCUGAUUUUUUUGCCUUAGCCCGACCCUAAUUUGGUCUGGAAGUCUGAGCCCGACCAAUUUUUUUUAAACUUUUUAAUAUUAAAUAAUUUAAAUUUACCUCCCCUAAUUUAUUAAAAUUAAACAUAAAACUUACUCUAAUCAAUAUCUCAACCAUAAAAUCAUAUAAAUAAUUAAAUAUAAAAAAAGAACCAUGUCUAAUUCAAAUCAAAACACACUUUUUUUUUAAUUAUUAAGUGACCGGGUCAGGUUAGCUAAGGCCCGAACCCUGACCCAAACUUGAUUGGGAUAUAAUUUUUAAAUCUAAACCUGAAUUUUAAUCUUUAAAUUUGAACAACACACUUUUAAGGAGGCCUACGAAAGUCAAAAGAGACAACACACUAACCUCUAACAUUGUCAAUUCGGGGAGGAAUCUCUCCUUCAUGGCUACCGGAGGGUCCGGUCCAGUCCAGUGUUGAAAAAUAAGGCUCAGAAUUGGGCACUCUAACCCCAAAAGCAUCCUGUGAUCAUUUUAUAUAUGCCUUUAGAAAUCUUCAAAGUUAUGGCCUGUCAGCAAGAUGGAAUCACUAGAUAAUUGAUUUAUUUAAUAUUAGAUGUUAGAGUAAAAACUGUGGUGCGUUGCGUAGAUUUUGAAACCAGAGAGAUCACAGAGAGUUGCCAAAGCCAUGACUCUAUAUACGUACAUGUCUACUACCAGCCCAGUCCCCUCCCCAACAACCAAAAAAAAAAAAAAAAUGCAGGAAAAUUUGCUCAAAAGCUUAAACGAAUAAUGAAUACUUAUUAAUUAGAGAGAAGGACUAUAUAUAUAUAUAUAUAUAUAUACAUACUACUUGCAAGUAUAUAUUGCCUUCAUUUUAUUUUUGUCAUGAAAAUUUCAUUUCAUGGACCACUCGCACUUCCAAUGGAGCAAAAUGAUUUUUCUACCAACUUUACUUUUCCCUCUCGUCCUGUUGUUGUUAGCAUCAAACAUGAAAAAUCUUAUUUUGUGAACCUUAAGUUUUCUCUAUAUAUAGGUGUCAUGUUUGAGAUUGGAGUACUAUAAUUUUUAAAUUACAGCUGUUGUGGGAAAAUUAAAAAAAAAACUAUAACUAUGAAAUAAAAGUUAAUAGUAUGUAGUAAAUGUUAAUUUUAAAUAAUAAUUUUGAUAAAAUUAUUCAAGAUAUAAUAAAUUUUUUAUCGUGAAAAAUCAUAUUAACAUAAUUUAUAAAUUACAUCAAUUAAUGUUUACCAAACACUACUCAAUCUUAAUCUCAAGCAGAACCAUAAUAAAUUAUCCAUUUUGAAGCCGCAACUCUUUAGCUUAUAUUUGUGAAGUGAACCAAUUAAAGUGUUCAAUAAAUAUCAUUACAUGAUGAUAGCUGUGAGUGAGUGCGGAUUAGUUUGGGUUGAGAAAAUUCAAAUUACGAGAUACUUUCUUGAGAGAGAUUGUCAUUGGUGAGCAAGAAUGAAAAAGUUUCAAACAAAAGGAAAUACUUCCUCACUAUAUAUGUAAUCUUGUAUUUUAAUGAAAUGCCUUAGAUAAGCAUCCUAGAAUAAGAUUAAGAAGUGAUAAUUAAUUAGCUAAUAUAUGAGUAGUAGCAAUACGUAUUUGAAAAUAAGGGUUAAGAGUAACAACAGAAGAAAACGUAACAAAAGUCCCAUCUGUUUUGCAAGAAUACGUAUACAUGCUGGUGUGUAAGUAAGUUUACAGCUAAGACGUGAGCAAACUUGGCACAAAUUUAGGGCACGAUUCUUGCGACAGCGUAAAAGCACCCAAACACAAGUGCAAUAACAAAUGGCCCAGCCAGCUGCGACAUUACACAAACAGACAAAACACCUUCUAGGGGGUGGUGGUGGUGGUGGUGGUGGUGAUAAGAACCAAUCAACUUAUAAAUCUUUCGGCUUCACCCUAAAUUAUCAAUUAUGCACCUCUGCCGGCUUGCCACAUACCCCCACCACAUCUCCCAUUAAGCAACAUUUCCUUUUCAUAGCAUUAUUUUUCUCAUCUUUUAAACUAAAAUAAACCCAGUUUUCAAAAAUAGAAUAAAAAAGUUGGUAAUGUGCUGCAAGUAAUAUUUUUUUUUUAACUCCCUUUAUUUAUUGACAUUUUCUUAUUAUAUAUUAUAUUGGGUAUUAAAAAACAGAAGAAAACAUACAUGAUAAUAACAAGAUCAGAGAUUUGCCAAACCGAAAAGCCCUUUUUAUUUGAAAUUAAUACUUUUAUUGGCAUGAUAUCUUAAUGCAGAUAGUACUUCUCUAAAAUAUUGAAAAUUAUAUAUAUUACUUAUUAGCAUUUAUUACAAUAAAUAAAUAAUUUUGUUCCCUUAAUUUAGAGGAUAAAAUGCCGGUAGGGUCAAAAUAAUAAUGAUGAUAUAGAAAUAAUUCAUUCUCAAAUUUUCUCUCAAAAUCAAAUUUCAGCUCCUCCACUAUAAGACUCAAUAUAUAUAUAUAUAUAUAUAUAACCCCUAAUAAGAAGAACACUUAUAGUCUUUGUUUGUCCAUAUUCAACUCUCCCGUCAUUUUUUUUUUUUAAUAUCCAAACUUGAACCUUUUCACAAACCCAAUUCCCAAACUUGAAUCUUUUUCUUCAGAAUCCAUUUUUUAAUUUUUAAUUUUUUUGAUUUAAUCAUCUUGAUCUCAUCAGAUAAUGGGUUGCUGGGGCAGCAAGGAAAGAGUUCCUCCAUCUGAUAUGAAUGGCUACAGAUCAAGCACUGCUCAUUCAAGUCAUCAAGCAACUGGCGUUGCAACACAAACCCCUUAUCAAACUUAUCAACAACAGCAGCAGCAGCAACUACACGUGCAGCCUCCUAAAAUGUCUGCCCCACAGCCACAACCAAGGCAGCAACCGAUGAAAUCUUCUGCAACAAGCACAAGGCCAGUGCAAAAGCCAGAAACAGUGCUGGGCAAGCCUCUAGAAGACAUUAGACAAUUUUACACAUUAGGGAAAGAAUUGGGUAGAGGCCAGUUUGGAAUCACAUAUUUGUGCACUGAGAAUUCAACAGGCAAUAGCUAUGCAUGCAAGUCAAUUUUAAAGAGGAAGCUUGUGAAUAAACAAGAUAGAGAGGAUAUAAAGCGAGAGAUUCAGAUAAUGCAGCACUUGUCUGGUCAACAAAAUAUUGUUGAAUUUAGGGGUGCUUACGAGGACAGACAAAGUGUUCAUCUUGUGAUGGAGUUGUGUUCUGGUGGUGAGCUUUUUGAUAAGAUUAUUGCUCAGGGGCAUUAUACCGAGAAAGCUGCUGCCGCUCUUUGUAGGGCUAUUGUUAAUGUGGUGCAUCAUUGCCAUUUUAUGGGAGUUAUGCAUCGUGAUCUUAAGCCUGAGAAUUUCUUGCUGUCUAACAAAGAUGGGGGUGCUAUGUUGAAGGCAACCGAUUUUGGACUCUCUGUAUUCAUCGAUGAAGGUGGCAUUUUUUUUGUCUGUCUGUUAGUUAAAUUUUCAGUUUCAAGUUUUAAUUUUGUCGAUUUGGCUUUGUAAUAUUUAUGCUUAUAACAUUUGUUUUGUUUUGGGAGGCUGUUUGAAAAAUUGUUUUAACUACUGUGACAUUGUGAAAUUUGUUAGGUUCUGUAAUGUUGAAUUCUGUUCAUUGGCUUGGAUUUGUGGUAAAGAAGAGUUGAAUUUAUUGUAAUCAUAGGCUGCAUUGGAUGAAAAGAUAUAGUGGUCUAAUUUUAGUCCCAACUGUGCUUUCAAGAUGAGAGGCCUCUUGCUCAUUGUCAGUCAUUGACAGACAAUUAAAUUCGGAAUCAUAUCCUGCUGAUUGGACUUGUCAAGUUGUUAUAUUGAGAAUUUUGCCUUACUGCUUGUUUUUCUUAAUGCAGCUUCUUUAAUCUUUUACUUUUGAUGGCUUCAAAUCAUUUUUGGAAUUUUACAUGUUAUGUGUAAUUUAACCGUGAACUUAAUUCACCUUGUCUGGAUACUUAUCCCAGGGAAAGUGUAUCGUGAUAUAGUUGGCAGUGCUUACUAUGUUGCUCCUGAAGUAUUGCGGCGUAGUUACGGAAAGGAAAUAGAUGUAUGGAGUGCAGGAGUUAUUCUAUAUAUUCUACUUAGUGGCGUUCCUCCAUUUUGGGCUGGUAAAGGAGAUGAUACUUUUGUGUUAUUUUGUUGAAUCCUGUCAGAUUCUCUUGUCAGCUGCAUGUUAUCAUUUAUGAUCAGUAAUAUAUUCAAUUUGUUCACAUUGCAGAGACUGAAAAGGGAAUAUUUGAUGCUAUUUUGAAAGGAGGUGUUGACUUUGAAAGUGAACCGUGGCUGUUAAUAUCAGAUAGUGCCAAAGACCUAGUCAGGAAAAUGCUGAUACAAGACCCUAAAAAAAGGAUCACUUCCGCUGAAGUUCUUGGUAAUUAAAUUAGCCCUGUUUUACUUAGCUCUACUGAAACUAAUGUGUAAGAUGAAAGUCACUAUAUCAUGCUUUAGAGAAAUUCUUAAUAGUAUCUUUUCAGGUCCAUUUAACGAGACUUUGUUCCGUAUAACUUGUCUUUUAUUUCGUUUGACCGUCAUUUUUUAGAUUGAAAUUCUUUUCACCUAGCUGUUGAAUCAUUGAAGAAAGAAACAUCUUUUUUAUGGGGCAGUAUAAGGUUGAAUUUUGAAAUUUACAGCAAGAGCAAAUAGCUGGUGUAAAUCAUUUUUCUCAUUUGUCAGUCAACCAAUUCUAUCUUUUUGCUUUUAUUUCGCAUUACAUUCAUGCAACUUAUGUGCUUCUGGCUAAAAAUGUUUUAAUCUGUAUGGCCAGAGCAUCCAUGGAUGAGAGAAGGCGGAGAAGCAUCUGACAAGCCGAUAGGUAGUGCAGUUCUAUCUAGAAUGAAGCAAUUCAGGGCAAUGAAUAAGCUUAAAAAGAUGGCAUUGAAGGUAAACUAUCAAACUGUGUUAAUUUUUUAUUUUCAGUUGAAAGAAAAAUUUGAUAAAUUGCUACUUAAAAUUCCCUGAAAAGGGUCCAUUUCUUUUCACAAGUCUGAUUUAAAUAUCUAACUUGAUUCCUUUCUAAUAAAACAAAAUCCAUGAAAGUGCUAUGUACUAUUUAUUUAAGAAUUAGGUCGGGGGCAAACCCCAAAUUGGUCUUUUAGCCCCCUACCUCUUCUAAGAUUCAAACUGUUUGACCAGCCAAAGAAAGCUGCUUGAAAACCAUUUAGUCAAUCCCCUGGGGCCCUUGAAAGUGCAAUGUUGGAAUGAUUUUUUGUUCAUACUUCUGGUGAACGGGAACCCGGGGUAGAUGAAAUCAUGAUUCGUUUGUAAUGCCCAUUCAGCAAAGAAACCUGAAAUCAGCAUUCCAUAGGGGUUUUGUUUUAUACUAUUACCACCCGCCGCCUCAGCAAUCACCCAGCUGACAAUGCUGCAGCUGCCAUUAUCCUCGCAUCAUCAUCACCGCUGCCAUCGCUCUCCUUUCUAUAUUGUCACAUACCACCAACUGGCUGCUGUAUGGUAUAUCGAUCUUCAUCUAAUUAUGUUGGUGAAUUUUGGAAUUCAUACAGGUCAUUGCAGAAGCUCUAUCUGAAGAAGAAAUUAAAGGCCUUAAGACAAUGUUCGCAAACAUGGAUACUGACAAGAGCGGUACAAUCACUUACGAAGAGCUGAAGACGGGUUUAGCUCGACUUGGGUCGAAACUCUCAGAAACAGAAGUUAAACAACUCAUGGAUGCUGUAAGUAUUUGAGGUCCCUACCACACCUCAAACUUUUGACUGUUGAAUAUUCUUCACUUUUCAAACUCAACUGGCAUUCUUCUUAUCACUGUUCAAUAAAUUCCAGGCCGAUGUGGAUGGAAAUGGGACAAUUGACUAUAUCGAAUUUAUCUCUGCUACAAUGCAUAGAUACAGACUGGAAAGGGAUGAGCACCUUUAUAAAGCAUUCCAGUAUUUUGAUAAAGAUAAUAGUGGGUGAGCUCUCAGUUUCCCUUUAUUUGUAAUAGUAGCCAUCUUACUAUUUGAUCUCAUACUACAUUUUUAGCAUUUCAUCAAGUUUCAGCUUAUAAACAAUAAAGUAGCAGAUAAUCCUUCAUUUUAUUUUCCCAUUCCUUCAAAAAAAAAUAUAACUGGAUUAAUAGUAACAAUGUGUCCAUACUAAGUUUCAUCUAAUUUAUCUACAUCUGUUCUGUAUUAUUUUUCUCUCACCACUAUCAAAUGUCUGAGAUGUAAGAAACAUAAUUAGAUUUCAUGAAUAAUUCUUUCCUUUUCCCAUGUUCUCGGCUGGGCAUGUUUCCAGUUUUAAAUCAGUGAGUUAUAUGGUUCGAGCUGUAGUAGCUAAUGAAAUCUGAGGUCUGCUUGGUUGACUAAUAAAUGGGUAAAAUUAACUGGGAAAUUCUGGAGAAGUUAUUCUUCACUAGAGUGUUAUCCGAAUGUCUUGUAUGACUAAUUAAAUGAACUGUGUGAUGUAAACUUUCUGGUAGAUACAUUACAAGAGAUGAGUUAGAAACAGCGAUGAAGGAUUAUGGAAUUGGAGAUGAAGCUAGCAUCAAGGAGAUAAUUUCUGAGGUUGAUACAGAUAAUGUAAGAUUUUAAGGAUUCAUAAACUUUAAAGAUGUCUCAGAGAAUCAUUACCGGUUCUGAUGCCAAUUGAACUUACAGGAUGGGAGGAUCAACUAUGAGGAGUUCUGCACAAUGAUGAGAAGUGGGACCCCACAGCCUGCAAAACUCAUUUAAAUGCCUAAUCAAUCAAGCGAGCUGCUUGAUUAUGUUUACAGUAUCCAUAGAAAUCUGGGCAUCCUUCACUCUGGUAUUGCUUUGCCAUCUUCAAUUGCCAAGUUUGGCUGUUAAAGCUUGCAAGGCUACCGGUUUAUCUUCACUUGUUGCUAAAUUAGUAUUUGUGCAUAUCUUAUUCUUUAGCUAGCUUGACCAGAUUCUAGUGAACCUACAAAGCCCUUAGGGAAAGAGUUACAUAUUUGUGCCCUGUGGACACUGAAGAUAUGUUGCUGAUUUUAUUUCCUUGAUAACUCUAUUUUAAUUUUGCACCCGAUGUUAUUGAUCAACUCGUUGGGAAACCAAAGUGAUGUGGUUAUUUGCACUACAUUAUGCACUGCUUAAAGUUUUGAGAAACCAGAGUAACUUUCACUGCUUAAAGGGCACUUAAAACAGAAUAUUGGGUUAUUGAAACCAGAGCAAGAAGAUCAUGAUACUGUAUGUUACAUCUUGCCACAUAUUGUCUUGCUCCACUCCCAUGAUUUCCCAUUUCAAAAGUCGCCAAAAGAACUUUAGACAAAAAUAAGAAAUAUUUUCUUACUAAACACACUCCUCAAGACAAAAAUAAGAAAUAUUUUCUUACUCCAGCCAACUUGCAAUUCUUUUGCUACAAGCUUCUAUAAAAUAUUUGUACACAUCAAUAAAACUAGAUAGCCAGUUAUCAAGGAGUCGUGUGUACUCAUUACAGAAUUCUUUUACUUUUAUCCAACACUUUUUCCAGGGAACCCAAUGAAGAAUAAAUAAAGCUUUUGUUUUCCUUCAAUUGAUCAACCCUGAAAUGUAGAAGCAUUUGCCUUGCCCAAAUCAAUAGACAAUAUAUGCUUUUGAAAAAUGGUACAAACAAACAAGGGCUGAAUUGUAUCUUAAUAGUAUCAGUAAUUAAAAUAUUUAAGUUACCUUUCCACGUGAGGUCGUUUUUGUAUAUUGUUAUCUGUACCCCAUUAAGCAAUAAGCAUAUUUAUUUGCACGUGUGCACACAUUUUCUAUAUACCUGGGAAAAGCCAAAGGCUUCAUGUCAUAUGGACUCGAUAGUCGAGACAGGCUGCUAGCUUUCUAAUCUUUUUCUUCAAUUAAUCAUAGCCAUAACCCCAUUCAGUCAGUGAAUUUUUUUUUUUAAAUUUUUUGUAUGACUUUACUGAUAAUUAAAGCACAGUUCUUUUCAGGAUGCCCAAAGUGCAAUUUACUGUGACAAGGGAAUCUGUCGACUGUCGAUUUGAAAACAGGCUUUGGCAACAUUCAAAAAUGGAAACAUUUGCUAUCCCAGCUGCGAAAGAAUAGCUGUUAACUAUUGAUCAUGACAUUCUCAAUUUAGAUUGGGUUUAUCUGAGUUAGGUUAGGUAAGUGAUUAUUUUUUUUACAUGUUAGUUAACUAAUCUUUGGUAAAUUAUAAUGCUGAAACAGUGCCUAGGAUGCUCUAAGCUUUGCUUCAGAAUAAAAAUGGGGCACAACCACGACACUCAGCACAAGAAGACAUUGCUGUUGUUAUUAAAUCUUGCACGAACUGUUUUAUCAAAUAAACUUUAAGCGAUGAAUUUUAAUGAAUUAAUUGAAGUUCGAUUAUAAGUGAUAGGACAAAGACAAAGCUCCAGCUCAGAUAUUAAGCAUAACUUGUACCCCAUCUUCUAGUAGAUACAUUUUCUUUAGAGAAUCAUUUUCUACAUUUUUUAAGAGCUACCUCACAUGAAUGUAAAUAAAAAAAUUCUCAUCAAUUCUAACGUGUGCGCGUUCUUGCUUCACAUGUGUUGUACUAUCUAAUAGCCAACACGUUUAAUUAACACCUCUGUUCAGGUGAAGGUAAAUUUCUAUAAAAUGAAAGGAAUAUAUUCAUCGAAAUUGUUAGUAAAUGAAAAUGGUAAAAUCAUUGUUCAUCCGAGGUUUUGUCAGUAUUUGAAAACAUUAAAAAAAAAAAAAUUGAAUUUAUUCUAGGAUCCACCGAUUAUUUGGAAAUUGUAUUACGUUCUAUCUUAAGGUACAUUAUUAUUAUUUUUUUUAUGAUGUCACAGGUAAUCAAGGGGGAAAUGAAAAAGAAAAAGAAAGAUAAGAAUCCAGUAAAAAGGAAAAAUGGAAAAGAAAAGAAAACAGACAGUUGAUAUUGGGUUGAGAUUGAAAGAGAGAGAGAUAGAGAGAGGCGCACGUGGGAUUGCAUGCCUCACUCCUCGCCGUUGUUGUUUCCCUUUACAAACUUCAAAUAUUGCUGAAACCAAAACUUUAAAGAUUUUCGUCCUUCUUCAUCAAUCAUCAUCACUGUUUUGAGUUUAAACACUGCUUCUUCUUCUUCUUCUUCUUCUUCUAGUUUAUAAAUCUAAGAACUUUUAAUUUGCCAAUUAAUAUCUUUCCGUUCAGAUAUUAUAAAUCAUAAAGCUUUGCAUGUUGCUUGAAAUUAAACUUUAGAGAGUUUUGACUUAUAUUGAUAGUCAUCAUACAUAUACAGUAGUGUGUCAACAUUGCUCUCUUUUGAUGACAUUGAAGCAAAAUCCUUCAGGCAAUGAAACAACAUCUUUCAGAAUCACUUUUUUGAUAUCUCCUUGAAGUAAAAUACUUUCGAGUGUUAGGCUUUGUACUGCACUCCAAUUUCAUUCUUUCUUUUUUUUAAUAUUUGGAGCAUUUCUUGGAGUUUUUGAUUAGUGAGUACCUUUCAUUUCUUAAGCCGGUGUAUUUUGAAAAGGGUAUUUUAGGGGGAAAAAAUAAUUAAACAUUUGUUCUUCAAUGGUGGAGCACCAAUCUUGUGCUGGUGUGAUAAAUGCUUCUGCAUUGUGUGGUAUAGAGCAAGAAGUGAAAGGAGAGGGUGUUAAUGCUAUUGCAGAGAUUUCAGCUAAGUUACAAAAAGAGAGACAAAAGAAUGCUCUACUUAUGGAGAGAAUAUCGUUGCUUGAAGCUCAAAUACAAGAAAGAGAUAAUGCAAACGUAUGAUUUGCAUACUUUAUAUUUGUGAUUCUUUUUUUUUUUGGGGGGGUGGUCUACUUUCUUGGCUUCUGCAAUUAAUGCUCUUUAAUAUUAACUUGAUUUUGAGCUCAUUAAUCCUUUACUUUGCAGCUAAAGCUUUUGAGCCUUGUUUUCUUCUAAAUUUUUAUUGAAUGGCUCUUUCACGUGGAUCAGGUUAUGAUUUGAUCGUCUUCAUUCAUAUGAAUAACUCAUCUGCAUUUGUUUGUGAAUUAGUUUGAUCAGAAUUGUGUGGAAACUUAUGUUGCUAUUAAUUGAGCUACCCAAUAAAAUUCAUAUGGGGGGUUAUUGUUGAUGUCUGAUCUCCUAUUUUACAUAAAGCAGUCACAUUCAUCAUUCUUUUAUUGUUCUGAUUUUAGUCCCAAGUCUCUCACCUUAUGCAGUUUAAUUUGCUCUUUGUUAAAUGAGCAUCAUACUUAACAAAACUAUUAGCAGCAUAAGCAGUGCAUUCCUGAAAUUUUGAUUAUGCAUGUCUAUUUACACAUAUGUAGUUUUAAUAUCAUUAGCAAUGAAUGUAUAGGUUUAUGAAAACCAUUAAUAGCCAUCUUGCAUUAUUACUCUCAGGGCAUCUGUCUGAAUGCAACAGAAAGGUACAUCAGGAAAUUCAAAAGACAGAAGAUAGAAACAAGUGAUCGUAAUGAAGAUGGAAAAAAUAUCAACAAAAAUGAAAUGGCAUUAAAGAUAAAACAUGAAAGAUGCAUGCGCUCUACUGGUACAAAUGAAGAAGGCCGUUUAGUCAACUGGAUGAGCAUGAAUGAGACUCAAUUUUCGCACUUUGAUAAGAUUAAAGAUGGUGAAUGUGCUGCAGAUUGUGAUGAUGAUACAUAUGAAACCGAGAAUGAAGAUGAUGAUUGUUAUGAAGAGGAUGAUACUAAGGAAAAUGACGAGAAUAUUGGAAGCACUAAUAAAACAAAGGAACUGCUUCUUGAACAAAGCUUCCAUCCAAGUGCUCAGAGAGAGCCAAUAGGUCCUCAUGGAAGCCAAGUAUCAAAUGAAGGUACAAUCGAGAAUCGAAAACCACCUGAUGUAGAAGCAGUGCACAACCAAGGGAAUCCAAGAAAAGUUAAUAAGGAAGAAGUUAUAAAAAUUGGAGAGGGCAAGGCACCAGAAGAGAUUUUUAUCUCCAGGAAGGAGGUUUUUAGUGCAGGUUCUGGAAGCAUACCGGUGAAUAAAAAGCCUGCAAAGGUUCCAUUCUGUCCGAAAGAAGUAAAGAGAAUUCUUGAAUCAGACUCCCUGUUAUCGAAAAAUGCUCAGUCCCACACCAUUAGAAAAAUCGUAGUCUUUGCAUCUCUUGGUAUAAGGCAUGGAUGUGAAGAUAUGUAUGAGUUAGACUUCAAUCAUUUUAGCAUUUUGAGGAAGGGGGAACCAUAUGUAUCUCCAAAGAACCCUGGGGUAGGCAUUUUGCAAACUUUUUGUUAUGAUUUGCUUCAACAAGAUAGUUUAUUAGGCAUUAGCUAUUGAGAGAUUUGAGAUAAUUUUUACUUUUCAUGUAUCCUGUCUUACUCAUGAGUUAAAUACGCUACUCGAUCAUUUAUUAGCAGGAGCAUGUGCUAUAUGAGAACCCUGGAGUGAGGAGGAAAGUUUUCUCUCCAAAUCGUCAGAACCCAACACUGUGCCCUGUUCAAAUUCUCGAGGAGGAAAAGGCUAUGCGUCCGUCUGAUCCUAGCUGCCCCUCAUGCUUGUUCUUAUGCAUCAAGUAUGGUGGGAGGACAAGAAAUCUUCCCCAAAAUGAGUAAGUACUACUACUACUUUCCCAAUUUUUUCAUUUUUAUACGUACUAUAACUGAGAAGAGGCAAUGAAAUUUCUUUUUAUAGUCCUGAAUUAUCAUGCCUUAAAUCCUUACCUAAACAAACUUGACCAUCUUUACAGCUAGGGAAGCUUGUGUCUUCAGUCAGGCCUUCCAAAAGAACUGAGACGUUGGUCAUUUGAUUGUAACUUGUUAAUGUUGUGCCCUUCCCUUAGACUAACCUACAAUUCUGAUUUUUUCCAGAUAUGUCAGGCAGAGAAUGGGAAGAAACAAGCUGAAAUCUUUUGGCCCUCUUAUGUGUCAAAUGGCAAUGCUAGUCCAUGUUCGCAGCGGGAGCUUCUUCUUCAAGGCCCUGGGCAUCACUCUUUUGUUCAUGGCUGGUUUUCCAAAUGACCUUGUCCAAAGGGAAACAAAGUACCGAAAUCUAUACUUGCUGCAAAAAUAUUACAGGUAUAAGACGUUAAAAGUCGUUGGACAUGUAAAUUGGUAAAAUGCCUCACACGCUGAUUAAACUUACCAAUACCCUAACCCUAUGCAAUUCACCUAAACGGCUUUGUGUAAUAUUUUAAGCAAGCAGCAUAAUUGUAAGAUGGUCAUACACAGCAUUUUAAGCAGUCCCUUUUUCUAAAAAUUUGUGUGUCCUUUAGAAGCAAGGUGAUUGAUCCCUAAACAAAUGAAAAUCUCUGUAGAUUGCUGUGUUACAUCAGGGCAUUAAACUUGAGAUGUAAUCUCCUUAUUUCUUGCUUUAACGCACUCUUCAGCCCGUGGCCUAGUUACUCUUAGCAGUAGAUUUUUAACAGUUUAAUGACUUCACAGUUCACACGACCUUGCUGCUGCAGGACAGAUGAUGAUGCUGAACGAGAGGAAUUAUUUCUUCCACAUCAGGCAGCUUCUGAUACUGUUAGUUCUCAACUCUUAAUUGUUCUCUUUAUUAAGAGUUGUUAAACAGUUUCUCAAUAAGCUUCUUGCUUUUCCAGCAGGCCAGUCUUCGUUCUCAGCAGUUGAUUGCAAAGACAACUUCAACAAAAUCUAAGGUCAGGAAACAAUCAAAAACCACAAGUAAGCCUCAAAACAUGCCAAGAUCCUCAAUUCAGCAGCCAGUACCUUCAACCACUAUGCCUCCUAUCCAGUUUGGGCUGAUGGGCUAUGCGUCUAUUCAAGCUAAUGCCCUGGCAGGAUUUCAAUCUAUGCCAUCUCAGACUCAUGCAGAUACCCCAGUGAUUACCAGUUCUGACACCAAAGUCUCCUACCCCAAUCAAACCCCCUAUCAUAUGUUCCCACCACAGGCCACAAAUACAUUCAUGCCUAUGUUAUAUUGGCCUCCACCAAAUGCAUUUCCUCCUGGUUCCUACCCAGCCCCAUAUGGUUACCAAUCUUUUCCAUUUCCAGCUAAUGCAAAUUAUGUAUCCAUCCAUCCACAAACAUACAAUAAUAACCUUCCCUCCUGCAGUCCUUUUAUCCCCAAGGUAGUCGAAGCUACUGCAAAGAACAAUAACGUGGCCUUGGAGGAAUCUGAUAGUGACUCAGAUAGCAGUUCAAGCAGCACAUAUCCGAAAGAGGCAAUAGCAAGUUGCAAGUAGUCUAAUUGAAUUUUUGUAAAUGAGCCUCAUUGGAAAAUAAACUUAGUUAAAGGAAAGCAAUCUAAUGCCUACUGGGGCAAAUGUAAUUUCUCGCUCCUAAGUUUUUAGAGCCUCCAGUCUUUGCAUCAGUGAAGUAUCUAUAUGAAUUAUGAUCUCAACUUUUGCAUAUAUCCGAAUAUCAUGGUCUGUUUUCAUCAGUAGCUUAAAAUUUAAAUCAAUAACAUAACUAUGUUGAAAAUGAAAAUACAAGACGAUUGCUUAUAAUCACUGAACUUUGUAAGAGGGACAGCUACAUGACCACUGUUUGUGAUCAUCAGAGCACUAUUCUUACUUAACUGCUACAAUGUUCAUAAUAUUUGUUUCCACAAUUGCAUUCCAAUGGAAUAUUACUUUCAAUGUGGAAAUGCAACAUUAGAAACUUAAAAAGGAAGGCAACGCCUUCCAAAGUUGAAGCGGAAAUUUUCCCAGUGAGCGCAUUGUGAGUACAAAAUUCAUAUUUCACAUCUCUUGCAUUCUCUCUUUGACCCUGAGUGAGUUUUUUGCACAUUGCUCUACUACAUUCUGGCUGCGCCUAUGCAAGAGGAUUAUACGUUUCUCCACCUACCGAAAGAUAAUAGCUUAUUGCAUUAUAGAGCUAUAUUUGCUUACAUAAAGGCACAUUUUUUUUUGACACGUUGCAUAAAGGAAUCUUAUCUCUCUCGUUCUUUAUCCUUUUGCUGAAUUAUUUGCCAUGUCCUUUAGCUAAAUCUGGGGACCAAUUCAAAAACAAAAAAAUAAAAAGGGACUCCAGGGACACGUAGGUCACUUGAAUACGACACUACCCCACCGCUAGGGAUGGGGGUCCUUGUCGGUCUUCAACUCCGUUGGCAUCACGAGAGUCUUGAGAGUCAGAAAGAAGUUUAUUGCCAUUGGCAUGAAUCAUCAAUUAUCAUCAUUAUACAAAUCCAUGCACCAUACACCAUCCCUGCAUACAUACAUACAUCCCUCAUCUACCACUGCCAUUACUGAAUAUUAAUAACAUCAAGCUCACGCCAUCGAGGAAAAGGAAAGCCUAGGCUUAAACAUUGGACGGUACAUCUAAGGAACAUAAUAGCAGUAAUACGAACAUCUCACAGGAAACAAACCGAUCUAGAAAAACCAUCUUAUUGGGAGCUCAUCUCACACUCUUUUCUUCCUCAUAGAAGAAACAAGGAAGAAAAAUUUGGAGCUAUUAACUUGUUGUAGCUAAUACAGCUGUCAGCUAGCUAGGACUUGUCGUGGAGCUUGUUGGCAAGAUUGCAAACCUUUCGGAUCUCACCCUUUGUACCUGUGAGAGGGUUGUUCUCAGAAAGGAGAGUAAUGGCUCUUGAAAAUUCCUUGAAGAAGUAGUCUUGACUCUUGGCCAUCUUCUUAACAUAAGGUCUUGUCCUCUUGUCGGUGGCUAGCUGAUGAUCAACCAUCAUCAAGCCCUUGUUGUCCAAUAUGUUCCUAUAGUAGUUGUUGUCCAGCACCAUGGGUGUGCCACGGUCAUUCCUCACAUACUGAACAGCCUUGGGGUCUGGGAUUGCAUCAGGACACUUAUGGAGCAUAUGCGGAACAUGGUCAG